rnacentral:lncRNA from 1 species
GCCUAUAAUAUCAGCAACGAAGAAGCCGAAAAGCUUGCCAAAAGCCAAACUGGUGUUUUGCUUAUUAAGCUACCAGAGGGCCAAAAAAUGCCCCACCCCUGCAAGAACAGUACUGAUAAAUUGGUGUACAAUAUUGAUGCUGCAUUACCUGAUAUCCACGUCCAAAAUGCUGGGUUGCUUACUGCCUUGACAGCAAAGAAGUUUCCAUUCCUUGGAGAAGUUGGGCUCAGCGCCACCCUUGUGAAGCUGGAUGCCAAUGCCAUGUCCUCACCGGUAUACGCGGCAGAUUCGUCGGUUCAAGUAAUUUAUGUUGCAAAAGGGAGUGGAAGGAUUCAAGUUGUUGGCAUCAAUGGUGAACGUGCCUUGGACACGAAAGUGAAGGCUGGCCACUUGUAUGUUGUGCCAAGGUUCUUUGUGGCCUCUACCAUUGCAGACGGUGAAGGAAUGGAGUACUUCUCAUUGAUAACAGCUACACAGUAAGCAUCAAUCUAACAAAUUGUUUUUCUCUUUAAACAUCAUUGAUUGUGGGGUUAAUUACUAACUAUUUGUUACAUGUCGUUUGUUUGUUUACAGACCUGUAUUUGGCGAAUUUACUGGGAAAACAUCAGUAUGGGGAGCAUUAUCUCCACAAGUUUUACAGGCCUCGCUCAAUGUGGCUCCAGAGUUUGAGCAGCUUUUCAGGGCGAAGAUAAAAAAGAGCACCAUUCUUGUUCCUCCACAGAACUAGAUUGAUUAAUAACCAAAGGCCCUCAUGAUGUAUCAUCAUUUGUUUUCAGGAGUUACAGGGCUAUCAAAAUACAAUAAUUGUACUCCUAAGUAUUUCUUUUAUAUGUGUAUCCGUGAGAUGGAAAAUGUUGUACAACUAUUAAUUAUAUGGCAAUAAAUUAGGUUAUGAACCUUAGUGUACUCAUUCUGAGUGCAUAUAUAUUUGUCUAUGAGAGUGAUGGUUUUAUUCCCAUCUUUAACCUAAUUGACUAAUGAAAGUGGACAAUGCUAUCAUCUCUUUCCUUCAAUCAAUCAUCACCCACGUCCCCAUUAUCAAGGGGCCUUGCACCGCUGUCAUUCCUUCUCAUGAAAGAGAGUCAAAGGCGAAUCUACAAGGGGAUAUUCUUGGAUCAGAGGUAGAUCCAAGGCUAUAAACUCGGCGGACCACAGCUUUGAGUAGUUCCGCGCAGCAUACUGCAAUGACAACCCAUUCGUAUAUAUACCGAGUUCAGAGCCACAGCCAGGAGGGAUAAACUUUAGUCAAGAGGAGAACUGUCCAGAGAGACAGAGGGGGCAACGAUCAUGGGUUCUUUCUGUAAGCAUCAAAACGCUAACCCUGAUUAAUGAUUUCUCUCUUCUUUUCUAUAUCUAUGUGUGUGUUUGAUGAUUGGGUUGGUUGAUUUUUUCUUGUAUUUGCAUCAAUUGGGCCUGCAGUUCUUUGUAUUUGGGUUUUGUUAUUGAAGUUGAUUUGCUUCUGAUACUGGUGUUUCCCUUCUGGGUUUUGUUUGGUUUCCUCUUUUGGUUGUGGUCUUAUACUGGAUUGUUGGGUUUUUCUGGUUUUGUGCAAAUUAAUAGCCAAUGCCAAUGUACAGUAUCUGGGAAUGAGUUAACAGUUCCAAAACUGUUUUUUUUCAAUUAGAUUUUAGCCUUUUUUACAUCUAUGGAAAUCCAUUUUUCUGACUGGGUUUUGUUGGAUCACUUGAUUCUAUGUGCAUUGAUUUUUAAUUUGUAUAUACAGAUAUAUGCACAGGUAGCAUUAAUUGCAUUGAUAUUGGAUACCAGUCAAUACUUUGGAAAAAUAAUAUAUUUGUUAAUGAGGGUUGACUUAGGUUUCCCAGUCCAGAAUCUUACCUAGAUCCAGCCUGUUUAUGUAGUUUUUGGACCAACCUGAGAUUAACUCCAGCCUCAAGGAGUUGCCAGCUCUAGCAAGACCUGUCAUUGGGAGAUCAUGUUCAUACUUCGACGAAGAUAGACAAUUAAGACUUUAUUUUUUUGACAAAAAGUGAGAAUGAGAUGGAGAGAAGGGGGGAAGUAAAGUAAAUUAAAAGAAUAUAUAUAUAUAUAUAUAUAUAUAUAUAUAUAUUAAGGUCUACGUGGAUCUAGAGGGACUAAUUUGCAUAUAAGUUUCAAAAGCAGUCUAAUUUUCAUAUUAUGCAUGCAUCGAAGCCUAAUUUGCCCCAAAAUUUAUCGUGAAUAAUCUACUCGUCACCUAACUUAACCAAAAAAAACAAAAAAAACUACUACUAUUAUCUAUUUAUCUAAAAUUUAUAAAUUAGACAAUCCUAAUAAUAUUUUAUAUUAAUAUUAGUAAUCCUAAAUAAUUUCCAAUGCUAAUAUUAUUAUCACUAAUAUUAUUUUCAACUUCCUAAUCGAUAACAAUUUAAUUAAAGAAUUUCCAAAUUUCCAUAAAAUAUAUGUUCUUUCCAAAAAUCUAUUACCAAUAAUCACUCAUAUCUAUAUAUUUUAAACAAAAACUCCUAAAAUUGUUUUCUUUUUGUCUUUUAUUAAAUUAUUAUUAUUAUUAUUAUACCAACUUUGUACUUCACCAAAUUCUCAAAAUUUAUUUAUUUUUUUUUUAAUUUUUCACUCACCCAUGUCAGGUUUAGUCCUCUAAACUUGACAUAUCUGAAUCUUGAAAAAAAAUGUAGAUGCUUCUCUCAUCUCCUCAUCUAAUUCCCAAGCGGCCUCUCGAAUACUGUAAUUACUGCAUUAAACCUCUACCAACUUGGCAAUAGCAUAACCUAGUACCUUAUCUAUUGCACCUACAAUUAGAACAUGUACUUCUUCAUUAGUCAAAUCCUUUGACAUUUGAAUAGGCUCCAACUCUACAACAUGAGAGGGAUAAAAAACAUACUUCCUCAAAGCUGAUACAUGAAACACAUUAUGAAUCUUAAACAAUUUUGGGGGCAAGGACACUUUAUAUGCCAAGGUGGCUACUCUUUCUAAGAUUUCAAAUAGUCCCACAAACCGAGGAUUAAGCUUUCUGUUUCUCUCAAAUCCUAUUGUAGACUUUGUAGGCGAAACUUUUAAGAGAACAUGAUCACCAACCUCAAACUCCAAAUCUCAUAUGUGAUUAUCAGCAUAACUCUUUUGUUUACUUUGAGUUGCGUUCAAUCUUUAUUUAAUCAAGUCAACCUUUUCAAUAGUUAACUGCACAAGUUCAAGCUCCAAAAGUUCCCUCUCUCUGACAUCAUCCUAAUAAAUAUGAGAUCGACAUCUCCUACCAUACAACCCCUCAAAAGGUGUCAUUCCAAUGCUAUCUUGAAAGCUAUUAUUAUAGGCAAACUUUACUAAAGGUAAUUAAUCAUCUCAAUUACCUUUCAGGUCUAAAGUAUAAGCUCUCAACAAAUCUUCUAAAACCUGAAUUCCCUCUUUAAUUGACCAUCAAUUUGAGGAUGGAAACCAAUAUUAAAACUCAACUUAGUAACCAAAGCUUUUUGUAAACUAUGCCAAAAUCUAGAAGCAAAAUGAGGAUCCCUAUCGAAUACUAUAGAAAUAGGUACCCUAGGCAUUCUUACAAUCUCCUUGACAUAAAGAGAAGUCAAUUAGUCCAUGGAGAAAGUAACUUUCAUAGGUAGAAAAUGAGUAGACUUUGUUAAUCGAUCAACAAUCACCUAAAUAAAAUUAUUACUGCCUAAGUGGCAACCUUAUCACAUAAUCCAUGGUAAUAUGUUCACAUUUCCAUUUAAGAAUAGAAAGUGGUUGCAAAGACCUUAUUGGGCAUAUAUGCUUAGCUUUCACUUGUUAACACACCAAACACUAAGCCACAAAUUGUGUAAUAUCUCGCUUCAUGCCUGACCACCAAUAAUUUUGCUUCAAAUCUUUGUACAUCUUUGAGCCUCCUAUGUGGAUUAUAAGUCUAGGACAAUGAGUUUCCUUCAAAAACUCUCUCCUUAAGUCUCCAUCAUUUGGGACACAAAGUCUAGUCCCAAAUAUUAAGAUUUCAUCAUAUGACAACAUAAAGGCAAGCUUACCGCUCUUUUUAACUUCCUUCAUAAGUUGGACCAAUUACAAAUCAUUCUUUUAUGGGGUCUUAAUUAUCCUAACCAAGUCUUGUUGUACUAUGAAAUUCACUACAAGAGAUCUUGAGUUCUGAACAAUGAUAUGGAUUUGUAAACACCUCAAAUCCUUUAGUAACCGCCUCUAACAACUUCUAAUAGUUGCUAAGGAACCAAUUGAUUUCCUGCUCAAGGCAUCAACCACAACAUUUGCUUUCUUUGAAUGAUAUUGAAUAACGUCGUCAUAGUCCAUAAGUAACUCUAUCCAUUUCCUUUGUUUCAUGUUUAAUUAUUUUUAGGAAAACAAAUACUUCAAGCUCUUAUGAUUUGUAAAUAUCUCACAAGUUUCAUUGGAAAGGAAAUGUCUUUAAAUCUUAAGUGCAAAAACACCAUAACUAGCUCCCAAUCAUGAGUGGGGUAGUUUUGCUCACAAGGCUUUAACUGUCUAAAAGCAUAAGCCACAACUUUCUUAUUUUGCAUAAGAACACACCCCAAACCCUAAUGAGAAGCAUCAUUAUACACUCAUGUUCCUCUACUUCUCGAGUACACUAAAAUAUUAUCUAUAAAAACCAUGACAAACUAAUCUAGAUAAGGUUUGAAUACCCUAUAAGUUCAUAAAGGCAGUAGGUGCAUUAGUUAAACCAAAAGGCAUAGUAAAAAAAUCAUAAUGCUAUCUAGUUUCAAAAAACAUUCUUGGGUACAUCCUCAUUUCUAACCCUUAAUUGAUGAUAUCUAGAUUGAAGAUUGAUCUUAGAGAACACACAUGCACCUUGAAGCUGAUCAAACAAAUCAUUAAACUGAGAAAGAGAAUACUUGUUUCUCACCAUCACCUUAUUCAACUCUCUAUAAUCAAUGCAAAGUCUUAUUAAUCCAUCAUUCUUCUUCACAAAUAAAAUAGGAGCUCUCUUCACAAAUCAUCAAUCUGAGGAAGAGAAUACUUGUUUCUCACAAUCAUCUUAUUUAACUCUCUAUAAUAAAUGCAAAGUCUCAUUGAUAGGUAAUUCUUCUUCACAAAUAAAAUAUGAGUUCCUUAAGGUGAAACAUUGGGCCUAAUAAAACCUUUAUUUAACAACUCCUAAGGUUGAAUCUUCAACUCCUUAAGUUCUAUAGGUGCCAUCUUGUGUGAGGCCUUAGAGAUAAGAGUUCUUCAUGUUACCAAAUCAAUGGUAAACUCCACCUUCCUCUAGGGGGAAGCUAGGCAAAUUGUCUAGAAAGACAUAAGGAUAAUUCCUUACAAUGGGUAUCUUCUCCAACCUUAAAUAAUUUUCAUGACUCACCACAUAUGCCAAAACGCCUUAAUAAGCCUUCCUUAUCGGGCAAAUAACUAGUUUGCAAGGCUGAGAUCAUACACAAUGGUCUAUCCACAUGUUUCCCCUCACAACUAAACUCGAGUUGACAAAAAAUGUGAAACAUCACCCUUUUUCCAAAACAAUCAAUAGAGGCAUGAUAGGAAGCUAAUCAAUCCAUUCCCAAAAUCACAUUAAAAUGCUAAAGGUCAAGGAAUACUAAGUUAACUAACAUCUCCCUAUAACCAAUAUAUCAUCAUAAGAUAAUCUUUAAGCAUUCUAUUGGCCACAUCAGAAUCUCUUAAAAGAGUAGCAACAUUAAUCAAAUCAAAGUCCAUGCUAGCCACUAACGUACGUAAAAAACUAAUGAAAGAUAUUGAAACAAAAUAGUGCAUUGUGCUUGAAUUCACCACUAAGAAACCAAUUAGGCAAUUUAAAACCAUCAGGAAGAAUAUGUAGGAUUAAUUUGUACUAGAUGAAGCUAAAACUUAAACUAAUGUGUCACUCUUCUAUCCCUAAAGUAAACUAAAUCAAGUUCGCAACAAGAUCAUAACCUAAUGCUCUGAUACCAUUCUAUCACGCCCCAAAACCUACUCUAAGGGUGUGAUGGUCAUUUUACACCUCAAGAUUAAAGGCUUAAAGUGAGAAUGACUCAAAUAGUCAUCUUAUAACUAGAAGGUUAACAAUUACUAAAUUCUUGUUCAAAGUAUUAAAAUAAAACAUUUCUAUAAUCCUUAAAUCUCAACUUUAAAACUAACACAUCAAUCAAAGUACUAUUGUCCAAAUAACUUCAAACUCAAAUAAUUCAAAUAAUAAUUAAAUUCUAACAUCUAAAUAAUAUCCAAAAUAAAGUUUAAAAAAAAAAUCCUAACAAAGACAAUUUCCUAGCCUAACCAUCACUCCUCGCUUGAAUUGAGAAUACUAGAAAAAAAUUAUCAACGAAAGGGAAUGAACUCAAAACCCAAUAAGAAAUACUAACAUAGUUUCAUAAAUCAAACAAUUUCAAUUAUGAUUACAAAUUAGCAAUGUUUUCAUAACCAGACUAGUCAUUGAACCGAAAAAAUUACCGGUUCACGAUUCACUGAUAGGAUCGGCGGUCGUAUCGUGGUUGAACCGGUGAUGCAAUAAAUAUAUAAUUUAUAUAUUAUUUAAAAUUAAAAUAAUUAUAAAAAAUUAAAAAUAUAUAAAAUUAAAAAUUUUAAUAAUGUUUGAUUUUUAUAUUUGGUAUAUUAAAUUAAAUGAUAAAGUUUAAUAUUUUAAAUUUUAUUAAAUAGAAAUAUGUAAUAUUUAAGAAUGAAGAUAUAUUUAAGAUGAAAAAAAUUUAUAAUAUUUAAUUUUAUCUUUUUGUCUUUGUAUUUUAUUGUUUUAAAAUUAUUAUAUUAAUUAAUUUAUAUUAUUUUUUAUUAUAAUUAUUAUCAUAUUAUUAUUAUAAAAAUAAACAGGAAUUUAAAUAUUUACAUUUCUUUAAAGAUUUUAUAUAAUAAAAAUUUGAGAUAAAAACAUUAAUAAUAGAUUCUUAAUAUAUAUAUAUAUAUAUAUAUAUAUAUAUAUAUAUAUAUAUAUAUAUAUAUAUAUAUAUAUAUAUUAUUUUUAUUUUUUUUUAACAACAUCAUUUAAUAAAUAUGGUGCAAUGCUCAAUGGUUCAAAGACUUCAAACUUUAAUAUUUAAGAGAUCUGUGCAUCCAGUCCUUCAAGAAGCAAUGUUUUACUUCUAAUUAAUCCCAAUCCUAGUCCCACAUUGGAAGCACAUGAAUUCUAUGUGCUCUAUAAAUACCUUGCAACAUCCCUUAUAAGCCAAACUUGCCAGCAUAUUGGGCCUGGAGGCAUGACCCAAAUAUAAGUUUUAUAAGCAUUUCUUGUCAUUGGAUUGGGCCUAGUGGUUUGGACCAAAUAUGGGCUUAUAAUUAGUUUUAGUUUUAAAAGUAGUGGGCGUGGAAUGGGCCUCUUAAUAGUAAACAAAUAUUUGUAGCAAUUGAGGUCUGACCAGUUUAUAAAAAAUUGGACAGUUUGUCUGAUUCGGUGGUUCAACCGUCGGUUUGAACAGUUUCAUGCCAAUUUGACCAUGAAAUGGUUCAUUAAGAUGGACUGAACUGGAAAGUUCACCAGUUGACGAUUCGAACGGUCGGACCGGUUGGUUUGGUCCAAUUUUUAAAACAAUGCAAAUAAGAGAUACAAUAUACAAUCUUUUUCAUAAAAUGAGUUUGAAUAUACUAAAGCAUCCAAAUCUUUUCAUUUUUUUUAUUAUAUAUAUAUAUAUAUAUAUAUAUAUGUCAAAACAAUUUCAUACAAAUCAUGCAUUCAAAAUAUUUUACUUUGGUUAUUAGAUAAGAAAUGAUGCCCAGUUAAGUGAGACUAUACAAAUGGGUGGCUAACCUCAAAUUUAUUUUUUUUAAGGUGGACGAAACCAAAUACUACUAUACUAGUAACCUCUAACCAAACCCUUAAAGGUUGAGAUUCAAAGCAAUUACAUUCCCCACCAAUAAAUAUAAAGGUUAACUAUUAUAUCUCGUUGAUAAGGACAAUAAAUGUUAACUAUUAUAUCUCAUUAAUUAGGGCAAAAAAUGUCAACUAUUAUAUCUUGUUGACUAGGGUCAAACAAAUCAGAAUCAAACACUUCGUUUCAUUUAUUCAAACAUACAUAACAUAAUAUCUCUAUAUUUUUUUGUUAUAAUCAAAAGAAAAAUAUUUUAAUAUAUUUUUCAUGCAAAAUAUAUUUGAUCCAUAAAACAAAAAUAAUAUUUUACAUAUUUGAAAAUAACAUAUAAAAAGAAAGUCAUUUUCUUUUACAAAAUUCACAUUAAUUUCUCUUACCUCAAAUAUGCACUCAAAAACCUUAAAGAAAUUAAUUGUGUAGAAUCUACUCCUUACAUCACAUAAAAAAAAAAAAAAAAAAAAAAACUAUUACUAUUGACUAUUUAUCUAAAAUUUAUAAAUUAGGCAAACCUAAUAAUAUUUUAUGUUUGUAUUAGUGAUUCUAAAUAAUUUCCUAUGCUAAUAUCAUUAUCACUAAUAUUAUUUCCAACUUUCUAAACCAUAACAAUUUAAUUAAAGAAUUUCCAAAUUUCCAUAAAACAUAUGUUCUUUCCAAAAAUCUAUUGUCAAUAAUCAUUCAAUCAUUCAGCCAUACAUUUUGUUCGAUAUUUUGGGACAAGAGCAUCUAUUUUCAAUCCCAUGUGUAGCAAGAAGGGAGAGCUUUGAAUUUACUUCCAUUAUCAGAUUAUAAACAUUGUAAUCAACAAUUGAAUUGAUUUUCAGCUAAGGUUUUGAACUUAUGGAAGGUAGGCAAAACUUGAUCUUUAGUAUGUAAGGGAUAAAGCCAAGAAAACUAAGAAAAAUUAUCAAGGAAUAUUAAGAAAUAACUUGCACCAGUUGUGGAGAUAACAGUGGCAGGACCUCACAAAUCGGUGUGAACUAAAGCAAAAGGAUGAGAAGCUCUAGAUUCAGAUAAUGGAAAAGGUAAUCUCUGGCUUUAUGCAUAUUAGUAAGCACAACAAACAUUAUGUCUAUGGCAAUCAUUAGAGAUAUUACAAGAUGUAAGAAUUUGCUUCAAAGUAUUAUCAACAUGAUGACCAAGAUGGGAGUGCCAAAGUUCAGCCAAGUUAUCCAAAUUCAUAAUAGAGAAGCCAUGACUGGAAGUAAAUUAAGAGGGCUGAAGGUGCAUCAUAAUAUUUAUUGUGUUUCCAAAAAUACAUUAAUAGAUUAAAUCCAAAAUCUUUUAUUUAUUUAUUUAUUAAUAAUUUUAAGAAGGUAGCUAUGAAUUGGAUAUUUAAAAAAAAUCAUUUUACAAUAAUUAAUCCCUCUCUAAUUUAUUUUGCAUGCAAUGUGAUAUUUCAUCCUUAUUAAUCAAAAUAAAUGUCCACAAAAAUAAUCAAAUUAAAUAAUAUAAACUUCAAAUUAUCAACUAUCAAGGUGUUCAUUUUGUUAGAUUCAUUAAAUCGAGGCCAACAUGUAUUAAACGAUAAAUUUAAUUAUUUUUAUAUUUGUCCAAAUAAUUCAAAAAAUUAAUAAAAUAUUUACAAGCUAUUGCAUGGUGGUAGAACAAGAAGUUUAGGUGGACCUUAUCCCAUGGGGGACGUUGAGAAGCUACUUACAAAGAUAAGGUUCCUGAUAAACCUUAUCUCACACAUCAUUCGUGCUUAUAAUUCCUUUACUUUUCAACUUUGUGAAGAUAUUUUUUUCAUUGAAUAAGAAAAUGUUACGAUAAUAAUUUCCAACGUGUGAUAAUUGGAAAAUUCGAGAAGGAAGAACAAGGGCAUCAAUUUUUAGGCAGUAGACAAAAAUGUCAAAUUUCCACAUGUCCAAAAAUGUUGAUUCGCGACAAAACAUACGUCUCUUUUAGGUAUUAUCAGUUUGUUUGAUUUUGAAAUUUGAUUUUUUUUAUAGGGGCUUUUUGGAUACAAAAUUUUUACUUGUAGCGUUUUCUCAAGUAGAAAAUUUUUACAAGAUAACACUAAUUUUAGAUAUACUUUGCCACCAUCAUCUCUCCAAGGGAAUGUCUCAUGCACCAUUCAAACUUUAUGGUUAUAUUUAUCUUUUGAUUAAUUGUAUUGCAUGCAAUUUUGUAAAAGCCCAAUAUGAACUCAAAUUCUAUAGAAAUAUUAGUUUGUAAAGAGUUUGAAAACCAGGAAGAGAUGAUGAAUUUGCAGAAGUCAAAAGAAAAGGAUAAAUCUUCCAAACUCUAGAAGAUGGAUUGUGUGAAAAGCAAAGAGAAAAAUGUAUUAUACAAGUAAAGUCCAGAAGAUGGGCAAUUUUCCUACUCAACCUCCUCCCGAACUCUAUAAAUACUCCCCUAAUCUUCCUCAUAUAUUCAUCUCUCAAAAGUCUCUCUUCAUCUCUUUCAUAACAUUCAACUUAGUCUCUUUCUAUUGUUUCUCAUAAAAUCAAGGUUUGUACUCACUCUUAUCUAUCUAUCUAUCUAUUUAUAUGUAUAUGUUAGUGGCCUUCAAUGUACACAUCUGAGAACUAUGGAUGAAUGAUAUGACCUGAAUUUCAAAGAUGAAGGUUGAGCUUGUUUUUCCACAUUAGCCCACUUUGUCUACUCUACCCCAUUACUCCACCUGAUUUUCAUUAUCUCUCUACAUGAUCUUAAUUGUAGUCUUAACCUUUUGAUCUGUGUUUUGCAGGCAGUCGUUCAUUUGCUUUCUUUCAAAUAUACAGACAUAAUCCAUGGAGUUGAACUUAGCACCAAAGUUUGCACAAAAGAUCUUCGAAGGAGAAGGUGGAACAUAUUACCGUUGGUCAAGUGCUGAAUAUGAAUUGCUCAAGGAAGCAAAGGUUGGUGGUGGAAGGCUUGUUCUGCAGCCUCGUGGCUUCGCCCUCCCUCACUAUGCUGACUCCAACAGAAUUGGUUAUGUUCUUCAAGGUCUGUAAAUCCCCGAGCUUUUUAUGUCUUAUUCUUAAUUAGAACUCUUUUUCUAUUUCUUUUUUUUUUUUCUUUAGAGAAUUGUUAAUUAUUCCUCCCUAAAAUAUCCACCUCAAUUUUCUUUUCUUUCUCAAAAAUUAGAACAAAAAGAGUGCACACAGCCAUGGUAGUCGGCUGUGACUGGUGUGAGAGGGAGAGGGAGUCGCCAUGACAUGCAAGAAUGAAGAAGAGAAGAAAGGAACAAGACUAGAAUUGAAGAAAGAAAAGGGAUAAGAGAGAGAUGAAAGAAGUUGAGGGCUAGGGUUAUAUUUGGGAAAAGGAAAAAGAAAUUGAAAAGAGAGAGAGAGAGAGAGAGAAAGUGGGCCCUUCAAUAUUUCUCUUUUAUUUUUUUUAUGUUUCUGUCAAAAUGAUUCUCCGAUAUUACCCACUGUGCCAUCAAACCCUAUCCAGUGGCUCAUUUAUGAAAAUAUAUUUUGUCCACAUCCAGGCAGCUGUGGAGUAGUUGGAAUCGUACCACCCAAAGCAUCCCAAGAAGUGGUGUUGAGGCUCAAGAAAGGAGAUAUAAUACCAGUGCCCUCUGGAGCAGUUUCAUGGUGGUACAAUGAUGGAGACUCAGAACUAAUUAUCGUAUUCCUUGGUGAAACUUCCAAGGCUUAUGUUCCCGGAGAAUUCACAAACUUCCUACUAACCGGAACUCAAGGAAUCCUUGGAGGUUUUUCCACUGAAUUUAACUCCAGAGCCUAUGAUAUCAACAACGAAGAGGCCAAAAAGCUUGCAAAAAGCCAAUCUGGCGUCUUGAUAAUUAAGCUACCAGAGGGCCACAAAAUGCCCCACCCCUGCAAGAACAGUACUGAUAAAUUGGUGUUUAAUAUUGAUGCUGCAUUACCUGAUAUCCAUGUCCAAAAUGCUGGAUUGCUUACUGCAUUGACAGCAAAGAAGUUUCCCUUCCUUGGAGAAGUUGGGCUCAGCGCCACCCUUGUGAAGCUGGAUGCCAAUGCCAUGUCCUCACCGAUGUACGCUGGUGAUUCGUCGGUUCAAGUAAUUUAUGUUGCAAAAGGGAGUGGAAGGAUUCAAGUUGUUGGUAUCAAUGGUGAACGUGCCUUGGACGCGAAAGUGAAGGCUGGUCACUUGCUGCUUGUGCCAAGGUUCUUUGUGGCUUCUGCCAUUGCAGAUGGUGAAGGACUGGAGUACUUCUCAUUGAUAACAGCUACAGAGUAGGCAUCAAUCUAAUAAAUUGUUUUCUCUUUAAACAUCAUCGAUUGUAGGGUUAAUUACUAACUAUUUGUUAUUUGUCUUUUGUUCGUUUACAGACCUAUAUUUGGCGAAUUUACUGGGAAAACAUCAGUAUGGGGAGCAUUAUCUCCACAUGUUUUACAGGCCUCUCUCAAUGUGGCUCCAGAGUUUGAGCAGCUUUUCAGGGCAAAGAUCAAAAAGAGCACCAUUCUUGUUCCUCCACAGAACUAGAUUGAUUAAUAACCAAGGGCCCUUAUGAUGUAUUAUCAUUUGUUUUCAGGAGUUACAGGGCUAUUAAAAUACAAUAAUUGUACUCCUAAGUGUGUCUUUUAUAUGUACAUCUGUGAGAUGGAAAAUGUUGUACAACUAUUAAUUAUAUGGCAAUAAGUUGUUCCUUUGUGUGAUCAGAAAAUCUAUUGCUGCAUUGAUUUUGAAAAAUUUCAAGAAAUAGCCUAUUAGAAGCCUUAAAUUAGGUUGUGAACCUUCUUGUACUCAUUGCGAGUGCAUAUUUGUCUAUGAGAGUGAUGGGUUCAUUCCCAUCAUUUACCUAAUUGACCAAUGAAUGUUGACAAUGCUAUCAUCUCUUUGCUUCAAUCAAACUCUGUAUGUAAACUACACCAUUCAAGUCAUCAUCAAUAAAUCUCCUAAAAAUGAAAGAGAGAUUUAAAUGUGCCUACGCUUUAUGGUCUUAUACCAAUCAAAACCUACACAAUCAUUCAUGUUCUUGACACAAUAUCUCAUGCUUCUUAAUGAAUAUUUCAACUUCAUACCGAGAGUGACAAAUUAUAUGUAUCCUCUAUUUUUGUUCAAAGAAUCUUUCAAGAUUGGUCUUAAAAUUAAACUUGAGAGGUGGGGAACUAAGGCUAAAAGGAUGACUACAUUCACGUGUAUGCCCCUCAAUUCAAUGAAGUAAUUUAUUUAUUUUCAAACGGUUGAAGAUAAAUUUGGAGAGCUACAUCAUAUUGUGGACCACUAAUUUUUUCCUAACAUGGGAUAGAAUAAGAAAAGAGAUACUAUAUCUUAUCCCAUGUCUGGAUGGUGAUAGGAUAGAAUCAAUUAUAUCAUCAAUUAUCCUAUCCUAUAUUCAACCAAACAUUGGAUAUGAUAAGUGUUGAAUAUAUUAUUCCUGAGAUAUGUUAAUUUCAUACUAAGAUAUGAAAUAUGCAUAUCCCAUAUAUCAUAAAUUUAUUUUUUAUUUUUUUAUACUCAUUUUGUAAAAUAUUUUUUUAUUAUAAAUUAAAUUCAUGAUUAAAAAAUAAAAAAUAUUAAUAUAGAAUAUAUAAUAUAUAAUUUAUUUUUAUAUAUCAAAUAACAUAAUAUAAAAAUUUUAAUUUAUAAAAUUUAAAUAAUUUAAUCAUGAAUAUUGUCAAAUAUAAGAGAAACUUCAUUUUUUAAAAUAAAAAAAUUAGAAUGUGAUAUAAUUUUUAUUUUAAACAUUAAAAAUAAUACAUAUUGGUGACUUUUUAGUGAUAACAGAUGAAGAAUGGGUAGAAUUGUCAGGGUAUAGGUAGGAUAAAAAGAGGUAUGAGAUGACAAAGAGAUGGAGUGGUCAAAUGAUUGGUGAAAUGGAAACACCACUUCAUCAAAGAUGAUAUGCCGAGUUAUAUGCAUUCUGCCAGAAUUGUAAUCUAAGCAAAACUAACCUUUGUGAAUUGUGCAAAGUGAUGUUAGGCAUGCGAUUAAUAAGGAAUAUGACAGUAUGGAACGCAUAGAGCCAGAACUUCCAAGGUAAAGAAGUAGUAGCUAAGAGAGCCAAACCAGUUUCUAAUAUGUGCCUCAUCUUUUCUGUUUUGGGGUAGAAGCAUCUGUUUUCAAUCUCACAUGUAGCAAGAAAGAGGGUGAAAGCUUUGAAUUCACCUCCAUUAUCAAAUUAUAAACAUUAUAAUCGAGAAUUGAAUUGAUUUUCAACUAAGGUUUUGAACUUAACAAAGGUAGGCAAAGCUUGAUCUUUAGUAUGUAAGGGAUGAAGUGAAGAAAAAUGAGAAAAAUCAAGGAAUAAUAAGAAAUAAUUUGGACUAAUUGUGGAGAUAACGGUGUUAAGAUCUCACAAAUCAGUACAAACUAAAGCAAGAGGAUGAUAAAAAAGCUCUAGAUUCAAAUAAUGGAAAAAAUAAUCUAUGACUUUUUGCAUAUUGGCAAGCACAACAAAUAUUAUGUCAAUGAAAGUAAUUAGAGAUAUUACAAGAUAUAAGAAUCUGCUUCAAAGUACCAACAAUAGGAUGACCAAGGCGAGAACACCAAAGUUUGGCCAAGUUAUUCAAAUUCCUAGUAGAAGAGCCAUGACCGGAAGUAAGGAGGGCUAAAGGUGCAUCACAAUAUUUAUUGUGUUUCCAAAAAUACAUUAAUAGAUUAAAAAUUAAUCCAAAAAAAAAAAUCAUUUUACAAUAAUUAAUCCCUCUCUAAUUUAUUUUUCAUUACUGCGAUAUUUCAUCUUUAUUAAUCAAAAUAAAUGUCCAAAAAAAAUAUCAAAUUAAAUAAAUAUAAACUUUAAAUUAUCAACUACAAAGAACAAUCAAAUUUAAGAAUCUUUUAUGUAUCCUCUAUUUUUAUUGAAAGAAUCUUUUAAGAUUGCUUGCUUGGGUUGGGUGAGAAUAAGAAUGGGGUUUAAUAUCCUUCAUUCAAUAAUCCCAUGUCUAAUAAGAAUGGGGUUUAAUAUCCUUCCUUCCUUCGUUCAAUAAUCCCAAGUCUUAUGAUUUAUGGUUUAUUAUGUUAUUAGAAUUUUGUGGGUUGCUUGAUUAUUAUGAUUUUUAUGAUUUGUUGGGUUAUUGGGAUUUUGUGGUUUGUUUAAUUGUUAAAACUUAAUAGAAAAUAGUUUUUUUUUUUUAAUUUAAUCUUAGCGCUUUGGUGUUAGAUAGAGCACUUUUUAUUUUUAAGAAGUGUAUCCUAAUUUAAAAAAUAAAAUAAAAGUCUCACAAAUUUUUGCAUUUUAUAUAAAAAUUAUUAUUAUUAUUAUUUAUUUUUAAGAAAUGUAUCUCUUAGUCUCUCUUGGUAUGAUUUUCUUUUUCAUUUUGGUUUUGAAUUUUUGGGAACGAGCAUGUGCUAGCAUGAAUAUGGGAAAUGAUCAAUUAUAAGGGAAAUAAUGAAAUAGAGAGAUAAGGAGAUGCAUAGAAUUAAAAAUAACAAAUAAAAAAUAAAAAUAAUCAAGAAAAUGCACCAUACCAAGAUUCCGCCCUAAUCCACAUUCCCAUAAAUUAAUGACAAUCAAAUAUUAAUAAGGAUUAAAUACACUUACCUUCCUCUUCAUUGUUAGUGUAUUUCACACUUUUCCCUCUUAUAUUUUUAGGUCAAAAUUUUACUCUAAACUUGUUAAACACCAACAUUUUGCACCUAAUUGCAAACUCUUUGUAAAAUUAUAAAAGGGAUCGUUUUUUUUUUCACUAUCUCGUUCAAGCACUGAUUUAAACUUGGAUAGAAAUAACUUUGAAUUAACAACUUUCAAGUGAAAUUUCUUAAAUGCCUUUAAAAUAUAGUAGUUACUAAUUUUGAUUUUUAAUUUUAUAUAGAUGUUUGCAUGACUAGUUGUGAUUUUUAUAUGUCAUUACACAGUUUGGCAACUUCGAAUUUAAAUAAUAAAUAUUUUUUUUUUAUUACAUUUUCAACUUUGUUUCUUUACUUAACAACUUAUUCAUGAACUUUUUAAUAAGUUUAAGAGGUAAAUUGUUAUUUUUUAACAAAUCUAGGAAACAAAGUGUUGACUUUUGAAUGUGAAGGGUCAAAAUGUAAAAUAGGCCAAAGAUUAAAAGGGUAAAUUGUAUUUAACCCUAUUAAUAAUAUUUGUUUCUUUUAAUUUUAGGGUAUUCAUUAUUAUUAUUUUUAUAUAACUUACUAUAUAAAGUUUGAAAAAAAAGGGAUUUAAUACAUUCAUUAUUAAAUUAUCAAACUUUUUAGCAUGUACACUUGGGUAAAUAUAGACUCCUCUUUGUAGUUUAUAUAGGAUAAUAUUUACGUCUUCUAGUGAAUUUGAUAACAAAAGGAGUAGAAUAAUUUUAUUUUUAUUAAAAUAAGGAUAAGUGUGAUGUUUUAGAUAAUUUAAUUAAAUAAAAAUCUUCUUUCUAUAUUGCAUUUGAGGAAGAAAAAUGAUAGGUCUCUUCCAAGGAUGCCAAGAGGCCACCUCAUAAUUUAUCUUCUACAUUGUCUUUAAGGAAAACUUGAUAGGAUUAGUUAACUUAUGUCUAGGUUUGCUCAUUGUCUUUAAGGACAACUUGAUAGGAUUAGUUGACUUUGGUCGGAUAUAAUCAUGUUUCAAUCAAAUUCAUGUCCAUUUAUAUAACAUGUUUAACAAAAAAAUUACAAAUUAUUUUUUGAUCAACCUACAUAAUAUAAAUUUGAAUAGAAUUGAUCCAUUUAAUAAUUAUGUUGGUUAACCUUAUUAUAACCACAUCAUAUUUAACUUGCAUUUAACUCAUUAAAAAUUUGAUUUUAAAUAACUAGAUUAAUUGAGUAAAAAAUGUAUAAUAUUGUUUGGAGGUUAAUUUCGUCUUGAUUAUUAAAUAAGAUUUUAUUGGAAAUCUUUAGAUUAUCUUUUGAAAAAGUCUAGGAUUCAAUAUAUAAAAAAAAAGAGUUGUUUCACCGUUCAAUUCUUCACCCUAGGUCGAGAAUGGAACCAUAGUAAAAUCGGGAAUCACUUUGUUUCACAUCACAAAAAGCCUUUCACCUCUUUUCAGAUAACUUUUCUUCUAGAGUUCUCUUUGUCUUUUUUUUUCAGAGAAGAAUUAAAAGUAAGCAAGAGAGUGAGUGAGAGAGAUCUCUUUUUAUUAUUAUUAUUUAUUUAGUGGGUGGUUUCUAACUGUUCCAACUCCCACAAAUUGCUCCCCGCAAUCUCUAAUUUGGUUGGAUCGGGUUAGGUCAACCUAACUUAGACAACCACCCAACUCCAAUAGAUUUCAUUACUAAAUGGGCUACAAAACUUGGUAUCUAUUUGAUAAUUGGUUGAUAUUUGAUACUUUUAAUUCAAUUAUGGUUCGUAUCCUAUUUGAAAUGAUUUAUUUAUGACCCAUCAACAUAAAUUGUCAUCCUUACAACUUCCUCAUUUAAUUUUUUAAAAUUAUUUUUAUUUUUAUUUUAUAUUUUAGUUAUAUUAAAAGUAAAUAUAAUUUAAAAAUAAAUAAGUAUUAUUAAUUUUUAUAAUUUAUUUUGAUAAUAAUUUUUUAUAUAUGUUUCUAAUUUUUUAUUUAUGGUAUAUAUAAUCACAAUAAGGCAAUAGGUAAAUUCGCCCUAGGUUAAAAAAAAAAUUUCUAAAUGAGACCUGAACUUAUAUAUAUCUCUUUGGCCAAUAUCAUGUUUAUUUUCAUCCCUAAUUUGUCCAAGUCUAAAUAAUUUAGUUUCUUUAGGCCUAGCACUUUAAAAGUUCCAAUUGAAUUUAAAAUAUUACUUUUAGCAUUUGAAAAGCUCUAUGAAAUAAGAUUUAUAUGUCUUAUUAUUUAUAAUGCUUAAGAAAACUUUCAAAUUUAGAAAGACAUUAUUACAUCCAUCUUAGAUAUGAUUUAACAUUAUUUAGAGUGUGUUUGAAAGUGAUUUUAGAAAACGUUUUUAACAAUUAUAACACUUGAAUGAUAAAAUUUUUUAAGUAUUAAAAAUAUUAAAAGCUCUUCUUAAAAUCAUAACCAAAUUAGUUUUUACAGUAUGUUUAACACUAAUUAUAAGUUCUUUUUAACUUUAAAAGUGUUUUUGAAAAAAAAUUAGAUGUUUGACAAAAUUUUAAAAAUUACUUGUAGUAAUUUUUUAGAGAAAUACUUUAUAAGUGAUUUUCCUAAAAACUCUUUUUGAGAAAACACUUCUAUUAAAAACACUUUGAGUAGAAAUAUUGUCAAACAUACUCCUAGUAUGUUUCAAAAAAUAUAUGAAAAUAUUAGAUCCAAAAAUCUAUUUUUAACAUUAUAUUUGAUUACAACAAAAUACUAAAGGGAGAAAAAAAAAAUUAAGAAAAAUGAUUUUGUUUGAUUGUACUAUAAAAAAUAUUAAAGAAAAUCAAAUAUAAUUAAAACUAAUUUAGAAACUUAUAUAUUUUAAAAUUAUUUAAUCUUUAUAUCGAUGAGUUGAAAUAAAUAAAAUAAGUUUAAAGAAUAAAAUGAAAAUGAUUUAUUGAGUUUUACUUUACCUUUUUUUAUUUUUUUUUAUUUUUCUUUUUUUCUACUUUUUCUUACAUUUUCCUUUAAAUUUUUUUGAACCAAACAUAGCCUAAGGAAUUAUCUACAAAGUGGACAUUUUUUUAUAAUUUAAAUUCAUUCUAAAAUAAAUAUUCGUCGUUACUCAAAAUAAGUAUUGUCCACAAAAAAAAUGAUCAAAUUAAAUAAUAUAAAAUUUUAAAUUAUUUGAUACAAUUGCAACCAAGAUGUUAAGAAUAAAAUAUUUACAAGCUAUUGAAAGUCGGAGACGUGACAUGUUGGGGUGGACCAAGACUUGUUCCCGCUAGAGUUGCUGACAAUCUAUUUAUAAAGAUAACGCUUAUCUGCAACAUCAUUUCCUUAUUUUUUUUUAACAUCUAAAAUCUUAGUUGUGAAGAUAUAUAUAUAUAUAUUGUUUCAUUGACUAAGAGAUUUUUUGGGAAUAAAGAAAGAAGAAAACAUGGUAAAAAUGAAAGAGGAAAAAGAAGAAAAUAAACGAAGACGACCAGAAAUGAAGAAAGAGAAGGGAAAAGAGAGAGAAGCAGCGAGGAAAGUUCGGGGUUAGGGUUAUAUUUUGGGAAAAGGAAAGAUAAGUUUUAUUUUUAUGUUUAUUUGUUAAAAAAGAGAGUGACACACCGUGACAACGAGAGACAAAGUGGGCCCUUUAAUAAUCCUAUCUACAAAUCCAGUGGCUCAUUUAUGAAAAUACAUUUUGUCCACAUCCAGGCAGCUGUGGAGUAGUUGGAAUGGUAUUCCCUGAAGCAUCCGAAGAGGUGGUGUUGAAACUCAAGGAAGGAGAUAUAAUACCAGUGCCCUCUGGAGCAGUUUCAUGGUGGUACAAUGAUGGAGACUCAGAACUAGUUAUCGUAUUCCUUGGUGAAACUUCCAAGGCCUAUGUUCCCGGAGAAUUCACAUACUUCCUAUUAACUGGAACCCAAGGAAUCCUUGGAGGUUUUUCCACUGAAUUUAACUCCAGAGCCUAUAAUAUCAGCAACGAAGAAGCCAAAAAGCUUGCCAAAAGCCAAACUGGUGUUUUGCUUAUUAAGCUACCAGAGGGUCAAAAAAUGCCCCACCCCUGCAAGAACAGUACUGAUAAAUUGGUGUACAAUAUUGAUGCUGCAUUACCUGAUAUCCACGUCCAAAAUGCUGGGUUGCUUACUGCCUUGACAGCAAAGAAGUUUCCCUUCCUUGGAGAAGUUGGGCUCAGCGCCACCCUUGUGAAGAUGGAUGCCAAAUACGCGGCAGAUUCGUCGGUUCAAGUAAUUUAUGUUGCAAAAGGGAGUGGAAGGAUUCAAGUUGUUGGCAUCAAUGGUGAACGUGCCUUGGACACGAAAGUGAAGGCUGGCCACUUGUAUGUUGUGCCAAGGUUCUUUGUGGCCUCUACCAUUGCAGACGGUGAAGGACUGGAGUACUUCUCAUUGUUAACAGCUACACAGUAAGCAUCAAUCUAACAAAUUGUUUUCUCUUUAAACAUCAUUGAUUGUGGGGUUAAUUACUAACUAUUUGUUACAUGUCAUUUGUUUGUUUACAGACAUGUAUUUGGCUAAUUUACUGGGAAAACAUCAGUAUGGGGAGCAUUAUCUCCACAAGUUUUACAGGCCUCGCUCAAUGUGGCUCCAGAGUUUGAGCAGCUUUUCAGGGCGAAGAUAAAAAAGGGCACCAUUCUUGUUCCUCCACAGAACUAGAUUGAUUAAUAACCAAGGGCCCUUAUGAUGUAUCAUCAUUUGUUUUCAGGAGUUACAGGGCUAUCAAAAUACAAUAAUUGUACUCCUAAGUAUUUCUUUUAUAUGUGUAUCCGUGAGAUGGAAAAUGUUGUACAACUAUUAAUUAUAUGGCAAUAAAUUAGGUUAUGAACCUUAGUGUACUCAUUCUGAGUGCAUAUAUAUUUGUCUAUGAGAGUGAUGGUUUUAUUCCCAUCAUUAACCCUAAUUGACUAAUGAAAGUGGACAAUGCUAUCAUCUCUUUCCUUCAAUCAAACUGUCUAUGAGAUGUAGAUGAUCUUAUACCGAUCAAAACCUACAUAAUCAUUCAUGUUCUUGACACAAUACCUCAUGCUUCUUAAUGAAUGAAUAUUUCAACUUCAUACCGAGACUGACAAAUUUUGUAUCCUCUAUUUUUGUUGAAAGAAUCUUUCAAGAUUGCUCUUGAAAACUUGAGAGGUGGACAACUAUGACUAAAGGGACUAGUUUGCAUAUAAAUUUCAAAAGUAGUACAAUCUUCAUAUUAUGCAUGCACCGAAGCCUAAUUUGCCCAAAAAUUCAUCAACUUUAAACACAAAAGGAGAUUCACAUGUUUUAUUUUAUGUGGACUUUAAACUAUAUACCAACUUUAAGAGUACUAGCUUUGCACAAAAAGAGAUUCGCAUGUUUUAUUUUAUAUUGACUUUAGGAAACAAGAAAUGUUGACUUUUGGGGCAUGAAAUUCAUAUUAAAAGUCACCAUCGAUCUUUUUUUUUGAGUUUUUGAUAUUUAUAUAGCUUUAUUAAAAAAAUAGUAUUACAAAAUUACAAUUAUAAGAAUAUUUAGGAUUUCAAAUUUAUGACUCUUUGUGAAAUUUCAAUUGAAAGUUUUUUGUUUAAAGAGAUAACUUCACUAGGAACUUAUCUUAAAAUUUAAAAAAAGAAAAAAAGAAAAAAAAAAAGAGGAAACAAAAGAUUGGACAGCAGGAGAUUCUUAUGUUUUAUUAUUUUAUGCCACCAUUUUGUACUAAGGAAAUGAGACAAGAAAUGUUGACUUUCGGUAUGAAAUCCAUAUUAAAAAGUCACCACUGUUUAUUGGUUACCCUAAACCCAUUUUAAGGGCAUGAUAGUUAUUUCAUAUCUCAAACUUGAAGCUUCAAAGUGUAAAUGAUUCAAUCAAUCAUAUUGUAAUCCGAACGUUACUUAGUACCAAAAUGUCAACUUUAAAACUAACGCAUCAACCAAGAUACUAUUAUCCAUAUAACUCCAAACUCAAAUAAUUCAAAUAUUAAUUAAAUUCUAACAUAUUAACAAUGUCCAAAAUAAAGUUUGAACCAAAAUUCUAAUAAAGACAAUUAAUUCCCAGCCUAAACAUCACUUCUUGCCCAAAUUGAGAGUAUCUGGAAAAAAAAAAUGUUAACGAAAGAGAAUGAGCCCAAAGCCCAAUAAGAAAUAUUAAUACAAUUUUAUGGAUCAAACAUUUUUAAGUAUGAUUAUAAAUAGGAUAUAUAAAGUACUUUUUUUUUAUAAAAACUUUUGAGUUCAAAUAUGCUAAAACAUCUAAAUCUUUUCAACAUUUUUUUUUCUUCAUAUUUAUGUCAAAACAAUUGCAUAUCAAAUCUAAAUCAAACACCUUCAAUAUAUUUUUACUUUGGUCAUCAAAUAACAAAUAAUGUCCAAUUAGGUAAGACUUUACAAAUGAGUGAUUGGCCUCAAAUUUGUUCAUUUUAAGAUGGACAAAACCAAAUACUACUAAUUCUAGUAGUCUUUAACCAAAUCCCUAGAGGUUGAGAUUCAAAGUAAUUACAUUUCCACCAAGAAAUGUGAAGGUAAACUAUUAUAUCCACUUGAUAAGGGCCGAAAAUGUCAACUAUUAUAUCCCGAUGACUAGGAUAAAAUAAAUUAGAGAGUCAAACACUUUGUUUCAUUUAUUCAAACUUACAAAAGCAUAAUAUCUCCAUAUUUUUCUAUUAUAAUAAAAAAGAAAAAUGUUCUAAUAUAUAUAUCAUGCAAAAUAUGUUUGAUCUAUGUAUAAAAACAAAAAUAAUAUUUUAUACAUUUGAAAAUAACAUAUAAAAAGAAAACCAUUUUCUUUUACAAAAUCUGCAUUAAUUUUCCUUACCUUAAAGAAGCACUAAAAAACCUUGAAGAAAUUAAUUGUCAAUAAUCUACCCAUUACCUAACAUAACAAAAAAAAUAAAAAUAAUAAAAAUAACUACUGCUAUGAGCUAUUUAUCUAAAAUUUAUAAAUUGGACAAUCCAAAUAAUAUUUUAUAUUAAUAUUAGCAAUCCUAAAUAAUUUCCAAAGCUAAUAUUAUCUUCACUAAUAUUAUUUUCAACUUCCUAAUCAAUGACAAUUGAAUUAAAGAAUUUCCAAAUUUCCAUAAAAUAUAUGUUCUUUCCAAAAAUCUAUUACCAAUAAUCAUUCAAUGUCUAUAUAUUUUAAACUAAAACUCCUAAAAUUGUUUUCUUUUUUGUCUUGUAUUAAAUUAUUAUUAUUAUUAUACCAACUUUGUACUUCACCAAAUUCUCAACAUUUAUUUUAAUUUUUUUUUUCACUCACCCAUGUCGAGUUUAGUCCUCUAAACUUGACAUAUCUGAAUCUAAAAAAAAAAAUUGGAUGUUUCUCUCAUCUCCUCAUCUAAUUCCCAAGUGGCCUAUCGAAUACUGUAAUUGCUCCAUUGAACCUCUACCAACUUGGCAAUAGCAUAACCUAGUACCUUAUCUAUCACAUCUACAAUCAAAAUGGGUACUUCUUCAUCAAUCAAAUCCUUUGACAUUUGAAUAGGCUCCAACUCUACAAUAUGAGAGGGAUAAAAAACAUACUUCCUCAAAGCCGAUACAUGAAACACAUUAUGAAUCUUAAACAAUCUUGGGGACAACUCCACUCUAUAUGCCAAGGUACCUACUCUUUCCAAGAUUUCAAAUAGUCCCACAAAUCGAAGAUUAAGCUUUCUGUUUCUCUCGAAUCCCAUCGUAGACUUUAUAGGCAAAACCUUUAAGAGAACAUGAUCACCAACCUUAAACUCCAAAUCUCACAUGUGAUUAUAAACAUAACUCUUUUGUUUAUUUUGAGCUGCUUUCAAUCUUUAUUUAACCAAGUCAACCUUUUCAAUAGUUAACUGCACAAGUUCAAGCCCCAAAAGUUUCCUCUCUCUAACAUCAUUCUGAUAAAUAGGAGAUCGACAUCUCCUACCAUACAACCCCUCAAAAGGAUUCAUCCCAAUGCUAGCUUGAAAGCUAUUAUCAUAGGUAAACUUUACUAAAGGUAAUUAAUAAUCUCAAUUACCUUUCAGGUCUAUGGUAUAAGCUCUCAACAAAUCUUCUAAAACCUGAAUACCCUUUUUAAUUGACCAUCGAUUUGAGGAUGGAAAACAAUACUAAAACUCAACUUAGUAACCAGAGCUUUCUAUAAACUAUGCCAAAAUCUAGAAGCAAAAUGAGGAUUCCUAUCGAAUACUAUAGAAAUAGGUACCUUAUACAUUCUUACAAUCUCCUUGACAUAAAGAGAAGCCAAUCAGUCCAUGGAGAAACUAACUUUCAUAGGUAGAAAAUGAGUAGACCUUGUCAAUCGAUCAACAAUCACCCAAAUAAAAUUAUUAUUGCCUAAGUGGUAACCCUAUCACAUAAUCCAUGGUAAUAUGUUCACAUUUCCAUUUAGGAAUAGAAAGUGGUUGCAAAGACCUUAUUGAGCGUAUAUGCUUAGCUUUCACCUAUUGACACGCCAAACACUAAGCCAUAAAUUGUGCAAUAUCUUGCUUCAUGCCUGACCACCAAUAAUUUUACCUCAAAUAUUUGUACAUCUUCAAGCCUCCUACAUGGAUUAUAAGUUUAGGACAAUGAGCUUCCUUCAAAAACUCUCUCCUUAAGUCUCCAUCAUUUGGGAAACAAAGUCUAGUCCCAAAUCUUAAGAUUUCAUCAUAUGAUAACAUAAAGUCAAGCAUACCACUCUUCUUAACUUCCUUCAUAAGUUGGACCAAUUGCAAAUCAUUCUUUUAUAGGGUUUUAAUUCUCCUAACCAAGUCUUGUUGUAUUAUGAAAUUCACUAUAAGAGCUCUUGAGUUCCGAACUCCGAUAUGGAUUUGUAAACACCUCAAAUCCUCUAGUAACCGCCUCUAACAACUUCUAAUAGUUGCUAAGGAACCAACUAAUUUCCUGCUCAAGGCAUGAACCACAACAUUUUCUUUCUUCGGAUGAUAUUGAAUAAUGUCGUCAUAGUCCUUAAGUAACUCUAUCCAUUUCCUUUGUUUCAUGUUUAAUUCUUCUUAGGAAAACAAAUACUUCAAACUCUUAUGAUUUGUGAAUAUCUCAUAAGUUUCACCGGAAAAGAAAUGUUUUUAAAUCUUAAGUGCAAAAACACUACAACUAGCUCCAAAUCAUGAGUGGGGUAGUUUUGCUCACAAGGCUUUAACUGUCUAGAAGCAUAAGCCACAACUUUCUUAUUUUGCAUAAGAACACACCCCAAACCCUAAUGAGAGGCAUCAUUAUAUACUCACGUUCCUCUACUUCCUGAGUACACUAAAAUAUUAUCUAUAAAAACCACAACAAACUAAUCUAGAUAGGGUUUGAAUACCCUAUAAGUCCAUAAAGGCAGUAGGUGCAUUAGUUAAACCAAAAGGCAUAGUAAAAAAGUCACAAUGCCAUCUAGUUUCAAAAAACAUUCUUGGGUACAUCCUCAUUUCUAACCCUCAAUUGAUGAUAUCCAGACCAAAGAUUAAUCUAAGAGAACACACAUGCACCCUGAAGUUAAUCAAACAAAUCAUUAAUUCGAGAAAGAGAAUACUUGUUUCUCACCAUCACCUUAUUCAACUCUCUAUAAUCAAUGCAAAGUCUUAUUAAUCCAUCCUCCUUCUUCACAAAUAAAAUAGGAGUUGUUUUCACAAAUCAUGAAUCUGAGGAAGAGAAUACUUGUUUCUCACAGUCACCUUAUUUAACUCUCUAUAAUCAAUACAAAGUCUCAUUGAUAGGUCAUUCUUCUUCACAAAUAUAAUAUGAGCUCCUCAAGGUGAAACAUUGGGCCUAAUAAAACCUUUAUUUAACAACUCCCGAAGUUGAAUCUUAAACUCUUUAACUUUUAUAGGUUCCAUCCUGUGUGAGGCCUUAGAGAUAGGAUUUCUUCAUGUUACCAAAUCAAUGGUAAACUCCACAUUCCUUUAGUGGCAAGCUAGGCAAAUAAUCUAGAAAGACAAAAGGAUAAUUCCUUACAAUGGAUAUGUUCUCUAACCUUAAAUCAUUUUCAUAACUCACCACAUAUGCCAAAAAGCAUUGAUAACCCUUCCUUAUCGACCAAAUAACUAGUUUGCAAGGUUGAGAUCAUAUGCAAUGGUAUGUCCACAUGUUUCCCCUUAAAACUAAACUUGAGUUGACAAAAAAAUGUGAAACAUCACCAUUUUUCCAAAACAAUCAACAGAGGCAUGAUAGGAAGCUAAUCAAUCCAUUCCUAAAAUCACAUUAAAAUGCCAAAGGUCAAGGAGUACUAAGUUAACUAACAUCUCCCUAUAACCAAUAUAUCAUCAUAAGAUAAUCUUUAAGCAUUCUAUUGGCCACAUUAGAAUCUCCUAAAGGAGUAGCAACAUUAAUGAAAUCAAAGUCCAUGCUAGCCACUGACAUACGUAACAAACUAAUGAAAAAUAUUAAAACAAAAUAGUGCAUUGUGAUUGGAUUCACCACUAAGAAACCAAUUAGGCAAUUUAAAAUUAUGAGGAAGAAGAUGUAAGAAUUUAUACUAGAUGAAGCUAAAACUUAAACUAAUGUGUCACUCAUCUAUCCCUAAAGUAAACUAAAUCAGUUUCCCAACAAGAUCAUAAGCUAAUGCUCUGAUACCAUUUUGUCAUGCCCCAAAACCUACUCUAAGGGUGGGAUGGUCAUUUUACAUCUCAAGCUUAAAGGCUUAAAGUGCGAACGAUUCAAACAAUUAUCUUAUAACUAGAAGGUUAACAAUUACUAAAUUGUUGUUCAAAGUAGUAAAAUUAAACAUUUCUAUAAUUCUUAAAUCUCAACUUUAAAACUAACACAUCAAUCAAAGUACUAUUGUCCAAAUAUCUCCAAACUCAAAUAAUUCAAAUAAUAAUUAAAUUCUAUCAUCUAAAUAAUAUCCAAAAUAAAGUUUAAAACAAAAUCCUAAUAAAGGCAAUUUCUUAGCCUAACCAUCACUCCUCGCUUGAAUUGAGAAUACUAGAAAAAAAAUUGUCAACAAAAGGGAAUGAGUUUAAACUCAAUACGAAAUACUAAAAUAGUUUCAUAAAUCAAACAAUUUCAAUUAUGAUUACAAAUAAGAGAUACAAUAUACAAUCUUUUUCAUAAAAUGAGUUUGAAUAUACUAAAGCAUCCAAAUCUUUUCAAUUAUAUAUAUAAUUUUAUAUCAAAUCAUGCAUUCAAAAUAUUUUACUUUAGUUAUUAGAUAAGAAAUGAUGCUCAGUUAAGUGAGACUAUACAAAUGGGUGGCUAGCCUCAAAUUUAUUGUUUUUAAGGUGGAUGAAACCAAAUACUAUUGAUACUAGUAACCUCUAACCAACCCCUUAAAGGUUGAGAUUCAAAGCAAUUACAUUCCCCACCAAAAAAUAUAAAGGUUAACUAUUAUAUCUCGUUGAUAAGGACAAUAAAGGUUAACUAUCAUAUCUCAUUAAUUAGGACACAAAAUAUCAACUAUUAUAUCUUGUUGACUAGGGCCAAAUAAAUCAGAAUCAAACACUUUGUUUCAUUUAUUCAAAUAUACAUAAACAUAAUAUCUCUAUAUUUUUUUGUUAUAAUCAAAAGAAAAAUGUUUUAAUAUAUUUUUCACGCAAAAUAUAUUUGAUUCAUGCAUAGAAACAAAAAUAAUAUUUUACAUAUUUGAAAAUAACAUAUAUAAAAAAAUAAAUUUCUUUUACACAAUUCACAUUAAUUUCCCUUAUCUCAAAUAAGCACUCAAAAACCUUCAAGAAAUUAAUUGUGUAGAAUCUACUCCUUACAUUACAUAACAAAAAAAAAAAAAAAAAAACUAUUACUAUUGACUAUUUAUUUAAAAUUUAUAAAUUUGGCAAACCUAAUAAUAUUUUAUGUUUGUAUUAGUGAUCCUAAAUCAUUUCUUAUGCUAAUAUGAUUAUCACUAAUAUUAUUUUCAACUUCCUAAACCAUAACAAUUUAAUUAAAGAAUUUCCAAAUUUCCAUAAAACAUAUGUUCUUUCCAAAAAUCUAUUGUCAAUAAAUCAUUCAAUCAUUCAACCCUACAUUUUGUUUGAUAUUUUGGGACAAGAGCAUCUAUUUUCAAGCCCAUGUGUAGCAAGAAAGGAAUUUACUUCCAUUAUAAGAUUAUAAACAUUGUAAUCGACAAUUGAAAUUAUUUUCAGCUAAGGUUUUGAACUUAAGAAAGGUAGGCAAAACUUGAUCUUUAGUAUGUAAGGGAUAAAACCAAGAAAAAUAAGAAAAACUAUCAAGGAAUAUUAAGAAAUAACUUGCACCAGCUGUGGAGAUAAUAGUGGCAGGACCUCACAAAUCGGUAUGAACUAAAGCAAGAGGAUGAGAAGCUCUAGAUUCAGAAAAUUGAAAAUGUAAUCUCUGGCUUUAUGCAUAUUAGCAAGCACAACAAACCUUAUAUCUAUGGCAGUCUUUAGAGAUAUUACAAGAUGUAAGAAUUUGCUCCAAAGUAUUAUCAACACGAUGACCAAGAUGGGAGUGCCAAGGUUCACCCAAGUUAUCCAAAUUCGUAACAAUAGAGAAACCAUGACAGGAAGUAAAGAGGGCUGAAGGUGCAUCAUAAUAUUUAUUGUGUUUCCAAAAAUAAAUUAAUACAUUAAAUCCAAAAUCUUUUAUUUAUUUAUUUAUUUAUUAAUAAUUUUAAGAAGGUAGCUAUGAAUUGGAUAUUUAAAAAAAAUCAUUUUACAAUAAUUAAUCCCUCUCUAAUUUAUUUUGCAUGCAAUGUGAUAUUUCAUCCUUAUUAAUCAAAAUAAAUGUUCCCAAAAAUAAUAAAAUUAAAUAAUAUAAACUUUAAAUUAUCAACUAUCAAGGUGUUCAUUUUGUUAGAUUCAUUAAAUCGAGGCCAACAUGUAUUAAACCAUAAAUUUAAUUAUUUUUAUAUUUGUCCAAAUAAUUCAAAAAAUUAAUAAAAUAUUUACAAGCUAUUGCAUAGUGGUAGAACAUGAAGUUUUGGUGGACCUUAUCCCACGAGGGACGUUGAGAAGCUACUUACAAAGAUAAGGUUCCUGAUAAACCUUAUCUCACGCAUCAUUCGUGCUUAUAAUUCCUUUACUUUUCAACUUUGUGAAGAUAUUUUUUUCAUUGAAUAAGAAAAUGUUAUGAUAAUAAUUUCCAACGUGUGAUAAUUGGAAAAUUUGAGAAGGAAGAACAAGGGCAUCAAUUUUUAGGCAGUAGACAAAAAUGUCAAAUUUCCACAUGUCCAAAAAUGUUGAUUCGCGACAAAACAUACGUCUCUUUUAGGUAUUAUCAGUUUGUUUGAUUUUGAAAUUUGAUUUUUUUUAUAGGGGCUUUUUGGAUACAAAAUUUUUACUUGUAGCGUUUUCUCAAGUAGAAAAUUUUUACAAGAUAACACUAAUUUUAGAUAUACUUUGCCACCAUCAUCUCUCCAAGGGAACGUCUCAUGCACCAUUCAAACUUUAUGGUUAUAUUUAUCUUUUGAUUAAUUGUAUUGCAUGCAAUUUUGUCAAAGCCCAAUAUGAACUCAAAUUCUAUAGAAAUAUUAGUCUGUGAAGAGUUUGAAAACCAGGAAGAGAUGAUGAAUUUGCAGAAGUCAAAAGAAAAGGAUAAAUCUUCCAAACUCUAGAAGAUGGAUUGUGUGAAAAGCAAAGAGAAAAAUGUAUUAUACAAGUAAAGUCCAGAAGAUGGGCAAUUUUCCUACUCAACCCCUCCUGAACUCUAUAAAUACUCCCCUAAUCUUCCUCAUAUUCAUCUCUCAAAAGUCUCUCUUCAUCUCUUUCAUAACAUUCAACUUAGUCUCUUUCUAUUGUUUCUCAUAAAAUCAAGGUUUGUACUCACUCUUAUCUAUCUAUCUAUCUAUCUAUAUGUAUAUGUUAGUGGCCUUCAAUGUACACAUCUGAGAACUAUGGAUGAAUGAUAUGACCUGAAUUUCAAGAUGAGGGUUGAGCUUGUUUUUUCCACAUUAGCCCACUUUGUCUACUCUACCCCAUUACUCCACCUGAUUUUCAUUAUCUCUCUACAUGAUCUUAAUCGUAGUCUUAACCUUUUGAUCUGUGUUUUGCAGGCAGUCGUUCAUUUGCUUUCUUUCAAAUAUACAGACAUAAUCCAUGGAGUUGAACUUAGCACCAAAGUUUGCACAAAAGAUCUUCGAAGGAGAAGGUGGAACAUAUUACCGUUGGUCAAGUGCUGAAUAUGAAUUGCUCAAGGAAGCAAAGGUUGGUGGUGGAAGGCUUGUUCUGCAGCCUCGUGGCUUCGCUCUCCCUCACUAUGCUGACUCCAACAGAAUUGGUUAUGUUCUUCAAGGUCUGUAAAUCCCCGAGCUUUUUAUGUCUUAUUCUUGAUUAGAACUCUUUUUCUAUUUCUUUUUCUUUUUCUUUAGAGAAUUGUUAAUUAUUCCUCCCUAAAAUCUCUUCUCCUCAAUUUUCUUUUCUUUCUCAAAAAUUAGAACAAAAAGAGUGCACACAGCCAUGGUAGUCGGCUGUGACUGGUGUGAGAGGGAGAGGGGGUCGCCAUGACAUGCAAGAAUGAAAAAGAGAAGAAAGGAACAAGACUAGAAUUGAAGAAAGAAAAGGGAUAAGAGAGAGAUGAAAGAAGUUGAGGGCUAGGGUUAUAUUUGGGAAAAGGAAAAAGAAAUUGAAAAGAGAGAGAGAGAGAGAGAGAGAGAAAGUGGGCCCUUCAAUAUUUCUCUUUCAUUUUUUUUUUAUGUUUCUGUCAAAAUGAUUCUCCGAUAUUACCCACUGUGCCAUCAAACCCUAUCCCAGUGGCUCAUUUAUGAAAAUAUAUUUUGUCCACAUCCAGGCAGCUGUGGAGUAGUUGGAAUGGUAUCACCCAAUGCAUCCCAAGAAGUGGUGUUGAGGCUCAAGAAAGGAGAUAUAAUACCAGUGCCCUCCGGAGCAGUUUCAUGGUGGUACAAUGAUGGAGACUCAGAACUAAUUAUCGUAUUCCUUGGUGAAACUUCCAAGGCCUAUGUUCCCGGAGAAUUCACAUACUUCCUACUAACCGGAACUCAAGGAAUCCUUGGAGGUUUUUCCACUGAAUUUAACUCCAGAGCCUAUGAUAUCAACAACGAAGAAGCCAAAAAGCUUGCAAAAAGCCAAUCUGGCGUCUUGAUAAUUAAGCUACCAGAGGGCCACAAAAUGCCCCACCCCUGCAAGAACAGUACUGAUAAAUUGGUGUUUAAUAUUGAUGCUGCAUUACCUGAUAUCCAUGUCCAAAAUGCUGGAUUGCUUACUGCAUUGACAGCAAAGAAGUUUCCCUUCCUUGGAGAAGUUGGGCUCAGCGCCACCCUUGUGAAGCUGGAUGCCAAUGCCAUGUCCUCACCGAUGUACGCUGGUGAUUCGUCGGUUCAAGUAAUUUAUGUUGCAAAAGGGAGUGGAAGGAUUCAAGUUGUUGGUAUCAAUGGUGAACGUGCCUUGGACGCGAAAGUGAAGGCUGGUCACUUGCUGCUUGUGCCAAGGUUCUUUGUGGCUUCUGCCAUUGCAGAUGGUGAAGGACUGGAGUACUUCUCAUUGAUAACAGCUACAGAGUAGGCAUCAAUCUAAUAAAUUGUUUUCUCUUUAAACAUCAUCGAUUGUAGGGUUAAUUACUAACUAUUUGUUAUUUGUNNNNNNNNNNNNNNNNNNNNNNNNNNNNNNNNNNNNNNNNNNNNNNNNNNNNNNNNNNNNNNNNNNNNNNNNNNNNNNNNNNNNNNNNNNNNNNNNNNNNNNNNNNNNNNNNNNNNNNNNNNNNNNNNNNNNNNNNNNNNNNNNNNNNNNNNNNNNNNNNNNNNNNNNNNNNNNNNNNNNNNNNNNNNNNNNNNNNNNNNNNNNNNNNNNNNNNNNNNNNNNNNNNNNNNNNNNNNNNNNNNNNNNNNNNNNNNNNNNNNNNNNNNNNNNNNNNNNNNNNNNNNNNNNNNNNNNNNNNNNNNNNNNNNNNNNNNNNNNNNNNNNNNNNNNNNNNNNNNNNNNNNNNNNNNNNNNNNNNNNNNNNNNNNNNNNNNNNNNNNNNNNNNNNNNNNNNNNNNNNNNNNNNNNNNNNNNNNNNNNNNNNNNNNNNNNNNNNNNNNNNNNNNNNNNNNNNNNNNNNNNNNNNNNNNNNNNNNNNNNNNNNNNNNNNNNNNNNNNNNNNNNNNNNNNNNNNNNNNNNNNNNNNNNNNNNNNNNNNNNNNNNNNNNNNNNNNNNNNNNNNNNNNNNNNNNNNNNNNNNNNNNNNNNNNNNNNNNNNNNNNNNNNNNNNNNNNNNNNNNNNNNNNNNNNNNNNNNNNNNNNNNNNNNNNNNNNNNNNNNNNNNNNNNNNNNNNNNNNNNNNNNNNNNNNNNNNNNNNNNNNNNNNNNNNNNNNNNNNNNNNNNNNNNNNNNNNNNNNNNNNNNNNNNNNNNNNNNNNNNNNNNNNNNNNNNNNNNNNNNNNNNNNNNNNNNNNNNNNNNNNNNNNNNNNNNNNNNNNNNNNNNNNNNNNNNNNNNNNNNNNNNNNNNNNNNNNNNNNNNNNNNNNNNNNNNNNNNNNNNNNNNNNNNNNNNNNNNNNNNNNNNNNNNNNNNNNNNNNNNNNNNNNNNNNNNNNNNNNNNNNNNNNNNNNNNNNNNNNNNNNNNNNNNNNNNNNNNNNNNNNNNNNNNNNNNNNNNNNNNNNNNNNNNNNNNNNNNNNNNNNNNNNNNNNNNNNNNNNNNNNNNNNNNNNNNNNNNNNNNNNNNNNNNNNNNNNNNNNNNNNNNNNNNNNNNNNNNNNNNNNNNNNNNNNNNNNNNNNNNNNNNNNNNNNNNNNNNNNNNNNNNNNNNNNNNNNNNNNNNNNNNNNNNNNNNNNNNNNNNNNNNNNNNNNNNNNNNNNNNNNNNNNNNNNNNNNNNNNNNNNNNNNNNNNNNNNNNNNNNNNNNNNNNNNNNNNNNNNNNNNNNNNNNNNNNNNNNNNNNNNNNNNNNNNNNNNNNNNNNNNNNNNNNNNNNNNNNNNNNNNNNNNNNNNNNNNNNNNNNNNNNNNNNNNNNNNNNNNNNNNNNNNNNNNNNNNNNNNNNNNNNNNNNNNNNNNNNNNNNNNNNNNNNNNNNNNNNNNNNNNNNNNNNNNNNNNNNNNNNNNNNNNNNNNNNNNNNNNNNNNNNNNNNNNNNNNNNNNNNNNNNNNNNNNNNNNNNNNNNNNNNNNNNNNNNNNNNNNNNNNNNNNNNNNNNNNNNNNNNNNNNNNNNNNNNNNNNNNNNNNNNNNNNNNNNNNNNNNNNNNNNNNNNNNNNNNNNNNNNNNNNNNNNNNNNNNNNNNNNNNNNNNNNNNNNNNNNNNNNNNNNNNNNNNNNNNNNNNNNNNNNNNNNNNNNNNNNNNNNNNNNNNNNNNNNNNNNNNNNNNNNNNNNNNNNNNNNNNNNNNNNNNNNNNNNNNNNNNNNNNNNNNNNNNNNNNNNNNNNNNNNNNNNNNNNNNNNNNNNNNNNNNNNNNNNNNNNNNNNNNNNNNNNNNNNNNNNNNNNNNNNNNNNNNNNNNNNNNNNNNNNNNNNNNNNNNNNNNNNNNNNNNNNNNNNNNNNNNNNNNNNNNNNNNNNNNNNNNNNNNNNNNNNNNNNNNNNNNNNNNNNNNNNNNNNNNNNNNNNNNNNNNNNNNNNNNNNNNNNNNNNNNNNNNNNNNNNNNNNNNNNNNNNNNNNNNNNNNNNNNNNNNNNNNNNNNNNNNNNNNNNNNNNNNNNNNNNNNNNNNNNNNNNNNNNNNNNNNNNNNNNNNNNNNNNNNNNNNNNNNNNNNNNNNNNNNNNNNNNNNNNNNNNNNNNNNNNNNNNNNNNNNNNNNNNNNNNNNNNNNNNNNNNNNNNNNNNNNNNNNNNNNNNNNNNNNNNNNNNNNNNNNNNNNNNNNNNNNNNNNNNNNNNNNNNNNNNNNNNNNNNNNNNNNNNNNNNNNNNNNNNNNNNNNNNNNNNNNNNNNNNNNNNNNNNNNNNNNNNNNNNNNNNNNNNNNNNNNNNNNNNNNNNNNNNNNNNNNNNNNNNNNNNNNNNNNNNNNNNNNNNNNNNNNNNNNNNNNNNNNNNNNNNNNNNNNNNNNNNNNNNNNNNNNNNNNNNNNNNNNNNNNNNNNNNNNNNNNNNNNNNNNNNNNNNNNNNNNNNNNNNNNNNNNNNNNNNNNNNNNNNNNNNNNNNNNNNNNAAACACCAACAUUUUGCACCUAAUUGCAAACUCUUUGUAAAAUUAUAAAAGGGAUCGUUUUUUUUUUCACUAUCUCGUUCAAGCACUGAUUUAAACUUGGAUAGAAAUAACUUUGAAUUAACAACUUUCAAGUGAAAUUUCUUAAAUGCCUUUAAAAUAUAGUAGUUACUAAUUUUGAUUUUUAAUUUUAUAUAGAUGUUUGCAUGACUAGUUGUGAUUUUUAUAUGUCAUUACACAGUUUGGCAACUUCGAAUUUAAAUAAUAAAUAUUUUUUUUUAUUACAUUUUCAACUUUGUUUCUUUACUUAACAACUUAUUCAUGAACUUUUUAAUAAGUUUAAGAGGUAAAUUGUUAUUUUUUAACAAAUCUAGGAAACAAAGUGUUGACUUUUGAAUGUGAAGGGUCAAAAUGUAAAAUAGGCCAAAGAUUAAAAGGGUAAAUUGUAUUUAACCCUAUUAAUAAUAUUUGUUUCUUUUAAUUUUAGGGUAUUCAUUAUUAUUAUUUUUAUAUAACUUACCAUAUAAAGUUUGAAAAAAAAGGGAUUUAAUACAUUCAUUAUUAAAUUAUCAAACUUUUUAGCAUGUACACUUGGGUAAAUAUAGACUCCUCUUUGUAGUUUAUAUAGGAUAAUAUUUACGUCUUCUAGUGAAUUUGAUAACAAAAGGAGUAGAAUAAUUUUAUUUUUAUUAAAGUAAGGAUAAGUGUGAUGUUUUAGAUAAUUUAAUUAAAUAAAAAUCUUCUUUCUAUAUUGCAUUUGAGGAAGAAAAAUGAUAGGUCUCUUCCAAGGAUGCCAAGAGGCCACCUCAUAAUUUACCUUCUACAUUGUCUUUAAGGAAAACUUGAUAGGAUUAGUUAACUUAUGUCUAGGUUUGCUCAUUGUCUUUAAGGACAACUUGAUAGGAUUAGUUGACUUUGGUCGGAUAUAAUCGUGUUUCAAUCAAAUUCAUGUCCAUUUAUAUAACAUGUUUAACAAAAAAAUUACAAAUUAUUUUUUGAUCAACCUACAUAAUAUAAAUUUGAAUAGAAUUGAUCUAUUUAAUAAUUAUGUUGGUUAACCUUAUUAUAACCACAUCAUAUUUAACUUGCAUUUAACUCAUUAAAAAUUUGAUUUUAAAAAACUAGAUUAAUUGAGUAAAAAAUGUAUAAUGUUUGGAGGUUAAUUUCGUCUUGAUUAUUAAAUAAGAUUUUGUUGGAAAUCUUUAGAUUAUCUUUUGAAAAAGUGUAGGAUUCAAUAUAUAUAUAUAAAAAAAGAGUUGUUUCACCGUUCAAUUCUUCACCCUAGGUCGAGAAUGGAACCAUAGUAAAAUCGGGAAUCACUUUGUUUCACAUCACAAAAAGCCUUUGACCUCUUUUUAGAGAACUUUUCUUCUAGAGUUCUCUUUGUCUGCUUUUUUAGAGAAGAAUUAAAAGUAAGCAAGAGAGUGAGUGAGAGAGAUCUCUUUUUAUUAUUAUUAUUUAUUUAGUGGGUGGUUUCUAACAGUUCCAACUCCCACAAAUUGCUCCCCCUAAUCUCUGAUUUGGUUGGAUCGGGUUAGAUCAACCUAACUUAGACACCCACCCAACUCCAAUAGAUUUCAUUAUUAAAUGGGCUACAAAACUUGGUAUCUAUUUGAUAAUUGGUUGAUAUUUGAUACUUUUAAUUCAAUUAUGAUUCGUAUCCUAUUUGACAUGAUUUAUUUAUGACCCAUCAACAUAAAUUGUCAUCCUUACAACUUCCUCAUUUAAUUUUUUAAAAUUAUUUUAUAUUUUAGUUAUAUUAAAAGUAAAUAUAAUUUAAAAAUAAAUAAGUAUUAUUAAUUUCUAUAAUUUAUUUUGAUAAUAAUUUUUUAUAUAUGUUUCUAAUUUUUUAUUUAUGGUAUAUAUAAUCACAAUAAGGCAAUAGGUAAAUUCGCCCUAGGUUAAAAAAAAAAUUUUUUAAAUGAGACCUGAACUUAUAUAUAUCUCUUUGGCCAAUAUCAUGUUUAUUUUCAUCCCUGAUUUGUCUAAGUCUAAAUAAUUUUGUUUCUUUAGGCCUAGCACUUUAAAAGUUCCAAUUGAAUUUAAAAUAUUACUUUUAGCGUUUGAAAAGCUCUAUGAAAUAAGAUUUAUGUCUUAUUAUUUAUAAUGCUUAAGAAAACUUUCAAAUUUAGAAAGACAUUAUUACAUCUAUCUUAGAUAUAAUUUAACAUUAUUUAGAGUGUGUUUGAGAGUGAUUUUAGAAAACGUUUUUAACAAUUAUAACACUUGAAUGAUAAAAUUUUUUAAGUAUUAAAAAUAUUAAAAGUUAUUCCUAAAAUUAUAACCAAAUUAGUUUUUAGAGUAUGUUUAACAGUAAUUAUAAGAAGUUCUUUUUAACUUAAAAAGUGUUUUUGAAAAAAAAAUUAGAUGUUUGACAAAAUUUAAAAAUUUAUUUGUAGUAUUUUUUUAGAGAAAUACUUUAUAAGUGAUUCUCCUAAAAACACUUUUUGAGAAAACACUUUUAUUAAAAACACUUUGAGUAGAAAUAUUGUCAAACAUACUCCUAGUAUGUUUCAAAAAAUAUAUGAAAAUAUUAGAUCCAAAAAUCUAUUUUUAACAUUUUUUUUAUUACAACAAAAUACUAAAGGGAGAAAAAAAUAUUAAGAAAAAUGAUUUUGUUUGAUUGUACUAUAAAAAAUAUUAAAGAAAAUCAAAUAUAAUUAAAGCUAAUUUAGAAACUUAUAUAUUUUAAAAUUAUUUAAUCUUUAUAUCGAUGAGUUGAAAUAAGUAAAAUAAGUUUAAAGAAUUGAAUGAAAAUAAUUUAUUGAGUUUUAAUUUACCUUUUUUAUUUUUCUUUAUUUUUUCUACUUUUUCUUACAUUUUCCUUUAAAUUUUUUGGAACCAAACAUAGCAUAAGGAAUUAUCUACGAAGUGGACAUUUUUUUUUAAUUUAAAUUCAUUCUAAAAUAAAUAUUCGUCGUUACUCAAAAUAAGUAUUGUCCACAAAAAAAUGAUCAAAUUAAAUAAUAUAAAAUUUUAAAUUAUUUGAUACAAUUGCAACCAAGAUGUUAAGAAUAAAAUAUUUACAAGCUAUUGAAAGUUGGAGACGUGACAUGUUGGGGUGGACCAAGACUUGUUCCCGCUAGAGUUGCUGACAAUCUAUUUAUAAAGAUAACGCUUAUCUGCAACAUCAUUUCCUUAUUUUUUUUUAACAUCUAAAAUCUUAGUUGUGAAGAUAUAUAUAUAUAUAUAUAUAUAUAUAUAUAUUUUGUUUCAUUGACUAAGAGAUUUUUUGGGAAUAAAGAAAGAAGAAAACAUGGUAAAAAUGAAAGAAGAAAAAGAAGAGAAUAAACGAAGAGGACCGGAAAUGAAGAAAGAGAAGGGAAAAGAGAGAGAAGCAGCGAGGAAAGUUCGGGGUUAGGGUUAUAUUUUGGGAAAAGGAAAGAUAAGUUUUAUUUUUAUGUUUAUUUGUUAAAAAAGAGAGUGACACACCGUGACAACGAGAGACAAAGUGGGCCCUUUAAUAAUCCUAUCUACAAAUCCAGUGGCUCAUUUAUGAAAAUACAUUUUGUCCACAUCCAGGCAGCUGUGGAGUAGUUGGAAUGGUAUUCCCUGAAGCAUCCGAAGAGGUGGUGUUGAAACUCAAGGAAGGAGAUAUAAUACCAGUGCCCUCUGGAGCAGUUUCAUGGUGGUACAAUGAUGGAGACUCAGAACUAGUUAUCGUAUUCCUUGGUGAAACUUCCAAGGCCCAUGUUNNNNNNNNNNNNNNNNNNNNNNNNNNNNNNNNNNNNNNNNNNNNNNNNNNNNNNNNNNNNNNNNNNNNNNNNNNNNNNNNNNNNNNNNNNNNNNNNNNNNNNNNNNNNNNNNNNNNNNNNNNNNNNNNNNNNNNNNNNNNNNNNNNNNNNNNNNNNNNNNNNNNNNNNNNNNNNNNNNNNNNNNNNNNNNNNNNNNNNNNNNNNNNNNNNNNNNNNNNNNNNNNNNNNNNNNNNNNNNNNNNNNNNNNNNNNNNNNNNNNNNNNNNNNNNNNNNNNNNNNNNNNNNNNNNNNNNNNNNNNNNNNNNNNNNNNNNNNNNNNNNNNNNNNNNNNNNNNNNNNNNNNNNNNNNNNNNNNNAGUACUUCUCAUUGUUAACAGCUACACAGUAAGCAUCAAUCUAACAAAUUGUUUUCUCUUUAAACAUCAUUGAUUGUGGGGUAAAUUACUAACUAUUUGUUACAUGUCAUUUGUUUGUUUACAGACAUGUAUUUGGCUAAUUUACUGGGAAAACAUCAGUAUGGGGAGCAUUAUCUCCACAAGUUUUACAGGCCUCGCUCAAUGUGGCUCCAGAGUUUGAGCAGCUUUUCAGGGCGAAGAUAAAAAAGGGCACCAUUCUUGUUCCUCCACAGAACUAGAUUGAUUAAUAACCAAGGGCCCUUAUGAUGUAUCAUCAUUUGUUUUCAGGAGUUACAGGGCUAUCAAAAUACAAUAAUUGUACUCCUAAGUAUUUCUUUUAUAUGUGUAUCCGUGAGAUGGAAAAUGUUGUACAACUAUUAAUUAUAUGGCAAUAAAUUAGGUUAUGAACCUUAGUGUACUCAUUCUGAGUGCAUAUAUAUUUGUCUAUGAGAGUGAUGGUUUUAUUCCCAUCAUUAACCUAAUUGACUAAUGAAAGUGGACAAUGCUAUCAUCUCUUUCCUUCAAUCAAACUGUCUAUGAGAUGUAGAUGAUCUUAUACCGAUCAAAACCUACAUAAUCAUUCAUGUUCUUGACACAAUACCUCAUGCUUCUUAAUGAAUGAAUAUUUCAACUUCAUACCGAGACUGACAAAUUAUGUAUCCUCUAUUUUUGUUGAAAGAAUCUUUCAAGAUUGCUCUUGAAAGCUUGAGAGGUGGACAACUAUGACUAAAAGGAUGACUAUUUCUUGUGUAUGCUCCUCAAUUCAUUAAAGUAAUUUGUUUAUUUUCAAAUGCUGGAAGAUAAAUUUGGAGAGCUACAUCAAAAUUGUAGACCACUAAUUUUUUCCCACCAAUAUGGCAUGAGCCCAUUUUUAUGCCUUUAUUGAAUCGGGCAUUACACUUUGGCAGCAUUCUAAAGUCAUCUUUCUAUUAUCCUUUUAUCUUAAUCUCAUUUAUGACUUCAAUCCCGUCUCCAAUCUUAUAUAUUUUGUAGAUUGAUGCACACAUAUAUGACGCAUGGAUUCUGAUACACGUACUUUCUUAUUAAUUUUAUCUUUUAUUUUUUAAUUUUAAUUUUUAAAUUUCAAUUUUUAAUUUUUCAAUUUUGAUUUUAAGCUUUCACUUUCAAUUUUUAAUUUUUGAUUUUAAGCUUUAACUUUCAAUUUUUAAUUUUUAUUCUUAAAUUUUAACUUUGAGCUAAGUUUUGGGGCAAAAUAGCCCUUUUAUAGAAAAAAAAAAAAUAUGGUUUAACUCAUUUGUAAAAUUUAUGUUCAAACUAAUCAUUUUAUUGCCACGUAGGAGUCAUAUUAUAAAAAAUAUUUUUUUAAAAAAAAAUAAGUUGAAACCUCAAUUGUCAAUUGAUGCUUUAUUUUUUUUAAUUAAAAUUGCAAUUAACAAUUGAUGAGUCAUUUUUGAAUUGAAACCUCAGUUGUUGAUUAAGGCUUCAUUUUUUAACUGAAACCACAAUUGAUAAUUAAAACUUUAUUUUUUGAUAAAGAGUGAGAAUGAGAUGGAGAGAAGGGGGGAAAGGUGGGGGAAAGUAAAGUAGAUUAAAAGAAUAUAUAUAUAUAUAUAUAUAUAUAUAUAUAUAUAUAUAUAUAUAUAUAUAUAUAUAUAUAUAAGGUUGACGUGAAUCUAGAGGGACUAUUAUCCAUAUAACUCCAAACUCAAAUAAUUCAAAUAUUAAUUAAAUUCUAACAUAUUAACACUAUCCAAAAUAAAGUUUGAACCAAAAUCCUAAUAAAGACAAUUAAUUCCCAGCCUAAACAUCACUUCUUGCCCAAAUUGAGAGUAUCUGGAAAAAAAAAAAUUGUUAACGAAAGAGAAUGAGCCCAAAGCCCAAUAAGAAAUAUUAAUACAAUUUUAUGGAUCAAACAUUUUCAAGUAUGAUUAUAAAUAGGAUAUAUAAAGUACUUUUUUUUUAUAAAAACUUUUGAGUUCAAAUAUGCUAAAACAUCUAAAUCUUUUCAACAUUUUUUUUUCAUAUUUAUGUCAAAAUAAUUGCAUAUCAAAUCCAAAUCAAACACCUUCAAUAUAUUUUUACUUUGGUCAUCAAAUAACAAAUAAUGUCCAAUUAGGUAAGACUUUACAAAUGAGUGAUUGACCUCAAAUUUGUUCCUUUUAAGAUGGACAAAACCAAACACUACUAAUUCUAGUAGUCUUUAACCAAAUCCCUAGAGGUUGAGAUUCAAAGUAAUACAUUUCCAUCAAGAAAUGUGAAGGUAAACUAUUAUAUCCAGUUGAUAAGGGCCGAAAAUGUCAACUAUUAUAUCCCGAUGACUAAGAUAAAAUAAAUUAGAGAGUCAAGCACUUUGUUUCAUUUAUUCAAACUUACAAAAGCAUAAUAUCUCCAUAUUUUUCUAUUAUAAUAAAAAAGAAAAAUGUUCUAAUAUAUAUAUCAUGCAAAAUAUGUUUGAUCCAUGUAUAAAAACAAAAAUAAUAUUUUAUACAUUUGAAAAUAACAUAUAAAAAGAAAACCAUUUUCUUUUACAAAAUCUGCAUUAAUUUUCCUUACAUUAAAGAAGCACUAAAAAACCUUGAAGAAAUUAAUCAUUAAUAAUCUACCCAUUACCUAACAUAACAAAAAAAAUAAAAAAAUAAAAAAACUACUACUAUGAGCUAUUUAUCUAAAAUUUUUAAAUUAGACAAUCCAAAUAAUAUUUUAUAUUAAUAUUAGCAAUCCUAAAUAAUUUCCAAAGCUAAUAUUAUCUUCACUAAUAUUAUUUUCAACUUCCUAAUCAAUGACAAUUUAAUUAAAGAAUUUCCAAAUUUCCAUAAAAUAUAUGUUCUUUCCAAAAAUCUAUUACCAAUAAUCACUCAAUGUCUAUAUAUUUUAAACUAAAACUGUGAUGUCCCACAUCGGAUAGGGGAGGAAGUUCCUGGCGCUAUAUAUGUAGAGGCUCCUCUUAACCAAGUAGACGCGUUUUAAAGCCGUGAGGGCCCAUUUCGGCCCAAAGCGGAUAAUAUCUACAUGGUUGGGUGCGGGUCGUUACAAAUUUGUGAUGUCCCACAUCGGAUAGGGGAGGAAGUUCCUGGCGCUAUAUAUGUAGAGGCUCCUCUUAACCAAGAAAACGCGUUUUAAAGCUGUGAGGGCCCCCUUGGGCCCAAAGCGGACAAUAUCUACAUGGUUGGGUGUGGGUCGUUACAAAUGGUAUCAGAGCCGAUCCCCGACCCCGGUGUGGGAGUUUGUUUGGCUUUGUCUGUUUGACCCCGCAAUCCCAUGGGACACAACGAGGACGUUGUGUCUGCAUGGGGGGGUAUUUGUGAUGUCUCACAUCGGAUAGGGGAGGAAGUUCCUGGCGCUAUAUAUGUAGAGGCUCCUCUUAACCAAGUAGACGCGUUUUAAAGCCGUGAGGGCCCAUUUCGGCCCAAAGCGGAUAAUAUCUACAUGGUUGGGUGCGGGUCGUUACAAAAACUCCUAAAAUUGUUUUCUUUUUUGUCUUGUAUUAAAUUAUUAUUAUUAUUAUUAUUAUUAUACCAACUUUGUACUUUACCAAAUUCUCAACAUUUAUUUUAUUUUAUUUUUUUCACUCGCCCAUGUCGAGUUUAGUCCUCUAAACUUGACAUAUCUGAAUCUAAAAAAAAAAAAAAAGAAAGUGGAUGUUUCUCUCAUCUCCUCAUCUAAUUCCCAAGUGGCCUAUCGAAUACUGUAAUUGCUCCAUUGAACCUCUACCAACUUGGCAAUAGCAUAACUUAGUACCUUAUCUAUCACAUCUACAAUCAAAAUGGGUACUUCUUCAUCAAUCAAAUCCUUUGACAUUUGAAUAGGCUCCAACUCUACAACAUGAGAGGGAUAAAAAACAUACUUCCUCAAAGCCGAUACAUGAAACACAUUAUGAAUCUUAAACAAUCUUGGGGACAACUCCACUCUAUAUGCCAAGGUACCUACUCUUUCCAAGAUUUCAAAUAGUCCCACAAAUCGAGGAUUAAGCUUUCUGUUUCUCUCGAAUCCCAUCGUAGACUUUGUAGGCAAAACCUUUAAGAGAACAUUAUCACCAACCUUAAACUCCAAAUCUCACAUGUGAUUAUAAACAUAACUCUUUUGUUUAUUUUGAGCUGCUUUCAAUCUUUAUUUAACCAAGUCAACCUUUUCAAUAGUUAACUGCACAAGUUCAAGCCUUAAAAGUUUCCUCUCUCUAACAUCAUCAUAAUAAAUAGGAGAUCGACAUCUCCUACCAUACAACCCCUCAAAAGGAGUCAUCCCAAUGCUAGCUUGAAAGCUAUUAUCAUAGGUAAACUUUACUAAAGGUAAUUAAUCAUCUCAAUUACCUUUUAGGUCUAUGGUAUAAGCUCUCAACAAAUCUUCUAAAACCUGAAUACCCACUUUAAUUGACCAUCGAUUUGAGGAUGGGAAACAAUACUAAAACUCAACUUAGUAACCAGAGCUUUCUAUAAACUAUGCCAAAAUCUAGAAGCAAAAUGAGGAUUCCUAUCGAAUACUAUAGAAAUAGGUACCCUAUACAUUCUUACAAUCUCCUUGAUAUAAAGAGAAGCCAAUCAGUCCAUGGAGAAACUAACUUUCAUAGGUAGAAAAUGAGUAGACUUUGUCAAUCGAUCAACAAUCACCCAAAUAAAAUUAUUAUUGCCUAAGUGGUAACCCUAUCACAUAAUCCAUGGUAAUAUGUUCACAUUUCCAUUUAGGAAUAGAAAGUGGUUGCAAAGACCUUAUUGAGCGUACAUGCUUAGCUUUCACCUAUUGACACGCCAAACACUAAGCCACAAAUUGUGCAAUACCUUGCUUCAUGCCUGACCACCAAUAAUUUUACCUUAAAUAUUUGUACAUCUUCGAGCCUCCUACAUGGAUUAUAAGUCUAGGACAAUGAGCUUCCUUCAAAAACUCUCUCUUAAGUCUCCAUCAUUUGGGAAACAGUCUAGUCCCAAAUCUUAAGAUUUCAUCAUAUGAUAACAUAAAGUCAAGCUUACCACUCUUCUUAACUUCCUUCAUAAGUUGGACCAAUUGCAAAUCAUUCUUUUAUAGGGUUUUAAUUCUCUUAACCAAGUCUUGUUGUACUAUGAAAUUCACUAUAAGAGCUUCUGAGUUCCGAACUCCGAUAUGGAUUUGUAAACACCUCAAAUCCUCUAGUAACCACCUCUAACAACUUCUAAUAGUUUAUAAGGAACCAAUUAAUUUCCUGCUCAAGGCAUGAACCACAACAUUUUCUUUCUUCGGAUGAUAUUGAAUAAUGUCGUCAUAGUCCUUAAGUAACUCUAUCCAAUUCCUUUGUUUCAUGUUUAAUUCUUCUUAAGAAAACAAAUACUUCAAACUCUUAUGAUUUGUGAAUAUCUCACAAGUUUCACCGGAAAAUAAAUGUUUUUAAAUCUUAAGUGCAAAAACACUACAACUAGCUCCAAAUCAUGAGUGGGGUAGUUUUGCUCACAAGGCUUUAACUGUCUAGAAGCAUAAGCCACAACUUUCUUAUUUUGCAUAAGAACACACCCCAAACCCUAAUGAGAGGCAUCAUUAUACACUCACGUUCCUCUACUUCUUGAGUACACUAAAAUAUUAUCUAUAAAAACCACAACAAACUAAUCUAGAUAGGGUUUGAAUACCCUAUAAGUCCAUAAAGGCAGAAGGUGCAUUAGUUAAACCAAAAGGCAUAGUAAAAAAACUCAUAAUGCCAUCUAGUUUCAAAAAACAUUCUUGGGUACAUCCUCAUUUCUAACCCUCAAUUGAUGAUAUCCAAACCAAAGAUCAAUCUUAGAGAACACACAUUUACCCUGAAGUUAAUCAAACAAAUCAUUAAUUCGAGAAAGAGAAUACUUGUUUCUCACCAUCACCUUAUUCAACUCUCUAUAAUCAAUGCAAAGUCUUAUUAAUCCAUCCUCCUUCUUCACAAAUAAAAUAAGAGUUGUCUUCACAAAUCAUGAAUCUGAGGAAGAGAAUACUUGCUUCUCACAGUCACCUUAUUUAACUCUCUAUAAUCAAUGCAAAGUCUCAUUGAUAGGUCAUUCUUCUUCACAAAUAGAAUAUGAGCUCCUCAAGGUGAAACAUUGGGCCUAAUAAAACCUUUAUUUAACAACUCCCGAAGUUGAAUCUUAAACUCUUUAACUUCUAUAGGUUCCAUCCUGUGUGAGGCCUUAGAGAUAGGAGUUCUUCAUGUUACCAAAUCAAUGGUUAACUCCACCUUCCUUUAGUGGCAAGCUAGGCAAAUAAUCUAGAAAGACAAAAGGAUAAUUCCUUACAAUGGAUAUGUUCUCUAACCUUAAAUCAUUUUCAUCACUCACCACAUAUGCCAAAAAGCAUUGAUAACCCUUCCUUAUCGAGCAAAUAACUAGUUUGCAAGGUUGAGAUCAUAUGCAAUGGUAUGUCCACAUGUUUCCCCUCAAAACUAAACUUGAGUUGACAAAAAAUGUGAAACAUCACCAUUUUUCCAAAACAAUCAACAGAGGCAUGAUAGGAAGCUAAUCAAUCCAUUCCUAAAAUCACAUUAAAAUGUCAAAGGUCAAGGAGUACUAAGUUAACUAACAUCUCCCUAUAACCAAUAUAUCAUCAUAAGAUAAUAUUUAAGCAUUCUAUUGGCCACAUCAGAAUCUCCUAAAGGAGUAGCAACAUUAAUCAAAUCAAAGUCCAUGCUAGCCACUGACAUACGUAACAAACUAAUGAAAAAUAUUAAAACAAAAUAGUGCAUUGUGAUUGGAUUCACCACUAAGAAACCAAUUAGGCAAUUUAAAAUUAUGAGGAAGAAUAUGUAAGAAUUUAUACUAGAUGAAGCUAAAACUUAAACUAAUGUGUCACUCAUCUAUCCUUAAAGUAAACUAAAUCAGUUUCCCAACAAGAUCAUAAGCUAAUGCUUUGAUACCAUUUUGUCAUGCCCCAAAACCUACUCUAAGGGUGGGAUGGUCAUUUUACAUCUCAAGCUUAAAGGCUUAAAGUGCGAACGAUUCAAACAAUUAUCUUAUAACUAGAAGGUUAACAAUUACUAAAUUCUUGUUCAAAGUAGUAAAAUAAAACAUUUCUAUAAUUCUUAAAUCUCAACUUUAAAACUAACGCAUCAAUCAAAGUACUAUUGUCCAAAUAUCUCCAAACUCAAAUAAUUCAAAUAAUAAUUAAAUUCUAUCAUCUAAAUAAUAUCCAAAAUAAAGUUUAAAAUAAAAUCCUAAUAAAGGCAAUUUCUUAGCCUAACCAUCACUCCUCACUUGAAUUGAGAAUACUAGAAAAAAAAUUGUCAAUGAAAGGGAAUGAGCUUAAAACCCAAUACGAAAUACUAAAAUAGUUUCAUAAAUCAAACAAUUUCAAUUAUGAUUACAAAUAAGAGAUACAAUAUACAAUCUUUUUCAUAAAAUGAAUUUGAAUAUACUAAAGCAUCCAAAUCUUUUCAAUUAUAUAUAUAAUUUUAUAUCAAAUCAUGCAUUCAAAAUAUUUUACUUUAGUUAUUAGAUAAGAAAUUAUGCUCAGUUAAGUGAGACUAUACAAAUGGGUGGCUAGCCUCAAAUUUAUUGUUUUUAAGGUGGAUGAAACCAAAUACUAUUGAUACUAGUAACCUCUAACCAAACCCUUAAAGGUUGAGAUUCAAAGCAAUUACAUUCCCCACCAAAAAUAUAAAGGUUAACUAUUAUAUCUCGUUGAUAAGGACAAUAAAGGUUAACUAUUAUAUCUCAUUAAUUAGGGCACAAAAUGUCAACUAUUAUAUCUUGUUUACUAGGGCCAAACAAAUCAAACACUUUGUUUCAUUUAUUCAAAUAUACAUAAACAUAAUAUCUCUAUAUUUUUUUGUUAUAAUCAAAAGAAAAAUGUUUUAAUAUAUUUUUCAUGCAAAAUAUAUUUGAUUCAUGCAUAGAAACAAAAAUAAUAUUUUACAUAUUUGAAAAUAACAUAUAUAAAAAAAUAAUAUUCUUUUACAAAAUUCACAUUAAUUUCCCUUACCUCAAAUAAGCACUCAAAAACCUUCAAGAAAUUAAUUGUGUAGAAUCUACUCCUUACAUUACAUAACAAAAAAAAAAAAAAAACUAUUACUAUUGACUAUUUAUUUAAAAUUUAUAAAUUUGGCAAACCUAAUAAUAUUUUAUGUUUAUAUUAGUGAUCCUAAAUCAUUUCUUAUGCUAAUAUGAUUAUCACUAAUAUUAUUUUCAACUUCCUAAACCAUAACAAUUUAAUUAAAGAAUUUCCAAAUUUCCAUAAAACAUAUGUUCUUUCCAAAAAUCUAUUGUCAAUAAAUCAUUCAAUCGUUCAACCCUACAUUUUGUUUGAUAUUUUGGGACAAGAGCAUCUAUUUUCAAGCCCAUGUGUAGCAAGAAAGGAAUUUGCUUCCAUUAUCAGAUUAUAAACAUUGUAAUCGACAAUUGAAAUUAUUUUCAGCUAAGGUUUUGAACUUAAGAAAGGUAGGCAAAACUUGAUCUUUAGUAUGUAAGGGAUAAAGCCAAGAAAACUAAGAAAAACUAUCAAGGAAUAUUAAGAAAUAACUUGCACUAGCUGUGGAGAUAAUAGUGGCAGGACCUCACAAAUCGGUAUGAACUAAAGCAAGAGGAUGAGAAGCUCUAGAUUCAGAAAAUGGAAAAUGUAAUCUCCGGCUUUAUGCAUAUUAGCAAGCACAACAAACCUUAUAUCUAUGACAGUCUUUAGAGAUAUUACAAGAUGUAAGAAUUUGCUUCAAAGUAUUAUCAACACCAUGACCAAGAUGGGAGUGCCAAGGUUCACCCAAGUUAUCCAAAUUCGUAACAAUAGAGAAACCAUGACAGGAAGUAAAGAGGGCUGAAGGUGCAUCAUAAUAUUUAUCGUGUUUCCAAAAAUAAAUUAAUACAUUAAUUCCAAAAUCUUUUAUUUAUUUAUUUAUUAAUAAUUUUAAGAAGGUAGUUAUGAAUUGGAUAUUUUUAAAAAAUCAUUUUACAAUAAUUAAUCCCUCUCUAAUUUAUUUUGCAUGCAAUGUGAUAUUUCAUCCUUAUUAAUCAAAAUAAAUGUUCCCAAAAAUAAUAAAAUUAAAUAAUAUAAACUUUAAAUUAUCAACUAUCAAGGUGUUCAUUUUGUUAGAUUCAUUAAAUCGAGGCCAACAUGUAUUAAACCAUAAAUUUAAUUAUUUUUAUAUUUGUCCAAAUAAUUCAAAAAAUUAAUAAAAUAUUUACAAGCUAUUGCAUGGCGGUAGAACAUGAAGUUUUGGUGGACCUUAUCCCACGAGGGACGUUGAGAAGCUACUUACAAAGAUAAGGUUCCUGAUAAACCUUAUCUCACGCAUCAUUCGUGCUUAUAAUUAAUUCCUUUACUUUUCAACUUUGUGAAGAUAUUUUUUUCAUUGAAUAAGAAAAUGUUACGAUAAUAAUUUCCAACGUGUGAUAAUUGGAAAAUUCGAGAAGGAAGAACAAGGGCAUCAAUUUUUAGGCAGUAGACAAAAAUGUCAAAUUUCCACAUGUCCAAAAAUGUUGAUUCGCGACAAAACAUACUUCUCUUUUAGGUAUUAUCAGUUUGUUUGAUUUUGAAAUUAGAUUUUUUUUAUAGGGGCUUUUUGGAUACAAAAUUUUUACUUGUAGCGUUUUCUCAAGUAGAAAAUUUUUACAAGAUAACACUAAUUUUAGAUAUACUUUGCCACCAUCAUCUCUCCAAGGGAACGUCUCAUGCACCAUUCAAACUUUAUGGUUAUAUUUAUCUUUUGAUUAAUUGUAUUGCAUGCACUUUUGUCAAAGCCCAAUAUGAACUCAAAUUCUAUAGAAAUAUUAGUCUGUGAAGAGUUUGAAAACCAGGAAGAGAUGAUGAAUUUGCAGAAGUCAAAAGAAAAGGAUAAAUCUUCCAAACUCUAGAAGAUGGAUUGUGUGAAAAGCAAAGAGAAAAAUGUAUUAUACAAGUAAAGUCCAGAAGAUGGGCAAUUUUCCUACUCAACCUCCUCCUGAACUCUAUAAAUACUCCCCUAAUCUUCCUCAUAUUCAUCUCUCAAAAGUCUCUCUUCAUCUCUUUCAUAACAUUCAACUUAGUCUCUUUCUAUUGUUUCUCAUAAAAUCAAGGUUUGUACUCACUCUUAUCUAUCUAUCUAUAUGUAUAUGUUAGUGGCCUUCAAAGUACACAUCUGAGAACUAUGGAUGAAUGAUAUGACCUGAAUUUCAAGAUGACGGUUGAGCUUGUUUUUUCCACAUUAGCCCACUUUGUCUACUCUACCCCAUUACUCCACCUGAUUUUCAUUAUCUCUCUACAUGAUCUUAAUCGUAGUCUUAACCUUUUGAUCUGUGUUUUGCAGGCAGUCGUUCAUUUGCUUUCUUUCAAAUAUACAGACAUAAUCCAUGGAGUUGAACUUAGCACCAAAGUUUGCACAAAAGAUCUUCGAAGGAGAAGGUGGAACAUAUUACCGUUGGUCAAGUGCUGAAUAUGAAUUGCUCAAGGAAGCAAAGGUUGGUGGUGGAAGGCUUGUUCUGCAGCCUCGUGGCUUCGCUCUCCCUCACUAUGCUGACUCCAACAGAAUUGGUUAUGUUCUUCAAGGUCUGUAAAUCCCCGAGCUUUUUAUGUCUUAUUCUUGAUUAGAACUCUUUUUCUAUUUCUUUUUCUUUUUCUUUAGAGAAUUGUUAAUUAUUCCUCCCUAAAAUCUCUUCUCCUCAAUUUUCUUUUCUUUCUCAAAAAUUAGAACAAAAAGAGUGCACACAGCCAUGGUAGUCGGCUGUGACUGGUGUGAGAGGAGAGGGGUCGCCAUGACAUGCNNNNNNNNNNNNNNNNNNNNNNNNNNNNNNNNNNNNNNNNNNNNNNNNNNNNNNNNNNNNNNNNNNNNNNNNNNNNNNNNNNNNNNNNNNNNNNNNNNNNGAGAGAUGAAAGAAGUUGAGGGCUAGGGUUAUAUUUGGGAAAAGGAAAAGAAAUUGAAAGAGAGAGAGAGAGAGAGAGAGAGAAAGUGGGCCUUCAAUAUUUCUCUUUCAUUUUUUUUUUAUGUUUCUGUCAAAAUGAUUCUCCGAUAUUACCCACUGUGCCAUCAAACCCUAUCCCAGUGGCUCAUUUAUGAAAAUAUAUUUUGUCCACAUCCAGGCAGCUGUGGAGUAGUUGGAAUGGUAUCACCCAAUGCAUCCCAAGAAGUGGUGUUGAGGCUCAAGAAAGGAGAUAUAAUACCAGUGCCCUCCGGAGCAGUUUCAUGGUGGUACAAUGAUGGAGACUCAGAACUAAUUAUCGUAUUCCUUGGUGAAACUUCCAAGGCCUAUGUUCCCGGAGAAUUCACAUACUUCCUACUAACCGGAACUCAAGGAAUCCUUGGAGGUUUUUCCACUGAAUUUAACUCCAGAGCCUAUGAUAUCAACAACGAAGAAGCCAAAAAGCUUGCAAAAAGCCAAUCUGGCCUCUUGCUAAUUAAGCUACCAGAGGGCCACAAAAUGCCCCACCCCUGCAAGAACAGUCCUGAUAAAUUGGUGUUUAAUAUUGAUGCUGCAUUACCUGAUAUCCAUGUCCAAAAUGCUGGAUUGCUUACUGCAUUGACAGCAAAGAAGUUUCCCUUCCUUGGAGAAGUUGGGCUCAGCGCCACCCUUGUGAAGCUGGAUGCCAAUGCCAUGUCCUCACCGGUAUACGCGGCAGAUUCGUCGGUUCAAGUAAUUUAUGUUGCAAAAGGGAGUGGAAGGAUUCAAGUUGUUGGCAUCAAUGGUGAACGUGCCUUGGACACGAAAGUGAAGGCUGGUCACUUGUUUGUUGUGCCAAGGUUCUUUGUGGCUGCUGCCAUUGCAGAUGGUGAAGGAAUGGAGUACUUCUCAAUGAUAACAACUACACAGUAAGCAUCAAUUCAAUAACUUGUUUUCUCAUUACACAUCAUUGAUUGUAGGGUUAAUUACUAACUAUUUGUUAUUUGUCUUUUGUUUGUUUACAGACCUGUAUUUGGCGAAUUUACUGGGAAAACAUCAGUAUGGGGAGCAUUAUCUCCACAAGUUUUACAGGCCUCUCUCAAUGUGGGUCCAGAGUUUGAGCAGCUUUUCAGGGCAAAGAUCAAAAAGAGCACCAUUCUUGUUCCUCCACAGAACUAGAUUGAUUAAUUACCAAGGGCCCUUACGAAGUAUUAUCAUUUGUUUUCAGGAGUUACAGGGCUAUUAAAAUACAAUAAUUGUACUCCUAAGUGUGUCUUUUAUAUGUACAUCUGUGAGAUGGAAAAUGUUGUACUACUAUUAAUUAUAUGGCAAUAAGUUGUUCCUUUGUGUGAUCAGAAAAUCUAUUGCUGCAUUGAUUUUGAAAAAUUUCAAGAAAUAGCGUAAUGGAAGCCUUAAAUUAGGUUGUGAACCUUAGUGUACUCGUUGUGAGUGCAUAUUUCUCUAUGAGAGUGAUGGUUUCAUUCCCAUCAUUUACCUAAUUGACCAAUGAAUGUGGACAAUGCUGUCAUCUCUUUGCUUCAAUCAAACUCUGUAUGUAAACGACACGAUUCAAAUCAUUAUCAAUAAAUCUACUAAAAAUGAAAGAGAGAUUUAAAUGUGCCUACUCUUUAUGGUGUUAUACCAAUCAAAACCCACACAAUCAUUCAUGUUCUUGGCACAAUAUCUCAUGCUUCUUAAUGAAUAUUUCAACUUCAUACCAAGAGUGAUAAAUUAUAUAUGUAUCCUCUAUAAUUUAUUGAAAUAAUCUUUCAAGAUUGCUCUUGAAAACUUGAGAAGUGGGGAACUAGGGCUAAAAGGAUGACUAUAUUCACGUGUAUGCUCCUCAAUUCAAUAAAGUAAUUUAUUUAUUUUGAAACGUUGGAAGAUGAAUUUGGAUAGCUAUAUCAUAUUGUAGACUACUAAUUUUUUCCUACCAAUAUGGCAUGAACCCAUUUUUAUGGCUUUAGGCCAUGUUUGGUUGGUUGGAUAUAUAGUAUGAGAUAGGAUAAGAGAGAGGAUAUUAUAUUUUAUCCCAUGUUUGACUUGUGAUGGGAUAAGAUAAGUUAUCUCAUCACUUAUCUUAUCCUAUGUUCAAUCAAACAUAGGAUAGGAUAAGUGAUGACAUAUAUUAUCUACUAUUUUUUUAUCCCUUCCUAUCCUAUCCUAUGAAUUUGGAGAGCUACAUCAUAUUGUAGACCACUAAUUUUUGCCCACCAAUAUGACAUGAGCUCAUCCCAUGUCUUUAGACGAUGUUUGAUUGACCAUAUAACAUGUAAUAGAAUAAGAGAAGAGAUACUAUAUCUUAUCCCAUGUUUGGAUGGUGAUAAGAUAUGAUAAAUUAUCUCAUCACUUAUCAUAUCCUAUAUUCAACCAAACAUGGGAUAGGAUAAGUGGUGAAAUAUAUUAUCCACUUUUUUUCUUUAUUCCUUUUACAUAGGAUAUAUUAAUUUCAUGCUAUGAUAUAAAAUAUGCAUAUCCCAUGUAUCAUAAAUUUAUUUUUUAAUUAUUUUUUUAUUUUUUUAUACUCAUUUUGCAAAAUAAUUUUUUUUAUUAUAAAUUAAAUUCAUGAUUAAAAAAUAAAAAAUAUUAAUAUAUAAUAUAUAAUUUAUUUUUAUAUAUUGAAUGAUAUAAUAUAAAAAAUUUUAAUUUAUAAAAUUUAAAUAAUUUAAUCAUAAAUAUUGUCAAAUAUAAGAGAAAUUUCAUUUUUUAAAUAAAAUUUUUUAUUACAUGAUAUAAUUUUUAUUUUAAACAUUAAAAAUAAUACAUAUUGGUGACUGUUUAGUGAUAACGGAUGAAGAAUGGGUAGAAUUGUCAAGGUCUAGGUAGGAUAAAAAGAGGUAUGAGAUGACAAAGAGACAGAGUGGUCACAUGAUUGGUGAAAUGGAAACACCACUUCAUCAAAGAUGAUAUGCCGAGUUAUAUACAUUCUGCCAAAAUUGUAAUCUAAGCACAACUAACCUCUGCGAAUUGUGCUAGAGCCAAGAAAGAUGCAGUAGACUUAAUGAUAUAGGAGUAUAAUUGUGUUUAUUAUAUGGGAGAACAUAGGGAUAGUAGAGAUGGUAAUUUGGUGUUUUUCCAAAUAGAAUUUGAAAAGGAUCUAGAUUGAAGUUGGAGUACCUUGGAAAGCAUUUGAUUAAUAAGGAAUAUGACAGUAUGGAACGCAUAAAGCCAGAACUUCAAAGGUAAAGAAGUAGUAGCUAAGAGAGCCAAACCAGUUUCUACUAUGUGCCUCAUCUUUUCUGUUUUGGGACAGAAGCAUCUAUUUUCAAUCUAAUAUGUAGCAAGAAAAAGGGUGAAAGCUUUUGAAUUCACCUCCAUUAUCAAAUCAUAAACAUUACAAUUGAGAAUUGAAUUGAUUUUCAACUUAGGUUUUGAACUUAACGAAGGAAGGCAAAGCUUGAUCAAUAGUAUGUAAGAGAUGAAGUGAAGAAAACCUAGAAAAAUCAAGGAAUAAUAAAAAAUAAUUUGCACUAAUUGUGGAGAUAACAGUGGCAAGAGCUCACAAAUCAGUAUGAACUAAAGCAAGAGGAUGAGAAGCUCUAGAUUCAAAUAAUGGAUGAAGUAAUCUAUGACUUUUUGCAUAUUGGCAAACACAACAAAUAUUAUGUCUAUGAUAGUCAUUGGAGAUAUUACAAGAUGUAAGAAUCUGCUUCAAAGUAUCAAUACCAGGAUGACCAAGACGAGCACACCAAAAUUUGGCUAAGUUAUUCAAAUUCCUAGUAGAAGAGCCAUGACCGGAAGUAAAGAGGGCUAAAGGUCCAUCAUAAUAUUUAUUGUGUUUCCAAAAAUACAUUAAUAGAUUAAAUCCAAAAAUCUUUUAAAAAAAAAAAAUUAAGAAGGUAGCUAUGAAUUGGAUAUUAAAAAACAAAUCAUUUUACAAUAAUUAACCCCUCUCUAAUUUAUUUUUCAUUUACUCUUAUAUUUCAUCUUUAUUAAUCAAAAUAAAUGUCCACAAAAAAUAUCAAAUUAAACAAUAUAAACUUUAAAUUAUCAACUACAAAGAGCAAUCAAAUUUAAGAAUCUUUUAUGUAUCCUCUAUUUUUGUUGAAAGAAUCUUUUAAGAUUGCUCUUGAAAACUUGAGAGGACUAUAUUCUUGCGUACGCUCCUCAAUUCAACAAAGUAAUUUAUUUAUUUUCAAACAUUGGAAGAUCAAUUUGGAGAGCUACAUCAUAUUGUAGACCACUAAGUUUUUCCUACCAAUAUGGCUUGAACCCAUUUUUAUGCCUUUAUUGAAUCGGGCAUUACACUUUGGCACCAUUCUAAAGUCGUCUUUCUAUUAUACUACUAUCUUAAUCUCAUUGAUGACUUUAAUCCCCUCUCCAAUCUUAUAUAUGGUAUAUAUUGAUGCACAAAUAUAUGACACGUGGACUCUCAUACACAGACACUUUCUUUUUAUCGUAUCUUUUAGUUUUUAAUUUUAAUUAUUAACUUUCAAUUUUUAAUUUCUAUUUCUUAAAAAUUAACUUUAAGCUAUCAAUUUUAAGAGUACUAGCUUUACACAAAUGGGUUUUUCUCACUAAUUUUAAAAAAUAUAGGAAAAAAUAAUUUCAAAUUUUAUAAAUCAAUAGUUCUUUCUCUAUUUAAAAGUAUUUUAAAAUAUAUAUACUUUUCAUAAGUUAGAUAAUCAUUUCCUAAAAUAAUCCUUUUACUUGUUAGGUUAAUAACAUUAAUUGACAAUUUUUUUUACCAAUUGUUAGGUUAAUAAAAUAAGAAAAUUUAAAAAUUAAAAAUACAAUUAAAACUUAAAAAAAAUAAAUAAAUAAAAAACCUUUAAAGGUAAAAGUAUAAAAAUAAAAUACAAUUAACUUUCACUUCGCUAAAACACACUAGCAAAAAAUAUAAAUUUGGAGAAAGAAUUGGAAAUACAAUGGGAGUUAAUUUUUUUUUUAAUUUUCAAGUUUUUAAUUUUAAUUGUAUUUAAUUGUUAAUUAUUUUGGUUUAAAUUGUAUUUUAAAUUUUUAAAUUUUUUUAUUUUAUUGUUGAUGUUAACUAAUAAAAUUUUUAUUCAAUUUUAUUAAAAAAAAAGAAGAAAAAAAAAAGAAGAUGAGUUGAUUUAUAUAAUACAAGAUAUAAAAUCAUUAUUAAUCAUGGAAUUAGAAAGAUUUUAUUUAUCAACUGAGGAUCAUAAUUUUUCCACAAUGAUUUUUAUCUCAUAUUAUAUAAUAAAAAAUUUAUAAUAUAUUUAUUUGUAAGGGUAUUUUAGGAAAUAAUUAUCCAACUUAUGAAAAAAUGCAUGUAUUUUAAAAUAUUUUUAAAUAGAUAAAAAUAAAAUUGAUUUAUAAAAGUUAAAGUUCAUUUUCCUAUACUAUCACUUUUCCCAUAAAAAAAAUUAUAAAAUUACAAUUUUAAGAAUAUUUAGAAUUUCAAAUUUAUGACUCUUUGUGAAAUUUCAAUUGAAAAUUUUAUGUUCAAUAGGAACUUAUUGUUGAAAAAAAAAACGAGGAAACAAAAGAUAAGACAACAUGCAAUCAAGUUUCAUUACAUUCUCUUUCAGAGUUUCUAUAUGCAUAGGAGCCCAUGGUUUUUUCUUUUUCUUUUUCCCUAAAAAAAAAAAUUAUGCCACAAUUUUGGACUAAGGAAGCAAGACAAGAAAUGUUGACUUUUGGCUUGAAAUCCAUAUUAAAAACUCAUCAUUGUUUAUUUGUCAUGUCCCAGAAACCCUGUAAUGUUCAUUUCAUACCUCAAACUCGAAAGUUCAAAGUGCAAAUGAGUCAAACGAUCAUUUGGUGAUUAGAAGGUUCCUAAUUACCAAAUUCAUUUUCAAAAUAGUAAAAUAAAAAAUUUCUAUAAUUCUCAAAUCUCAACUUUAAAAUUAAUACAUCAACCAAAAUACUAUUAUUCAAAUAAUUUCAAACUCAAAUAAUUCAAAUAAUAAUUAAAUUCUAACAUCUAAACAAUGUUCAAUGUGAUUAUGAAUAGGAGAUACAAUGUAUUUUUAUUUUUUUUUCUAAAAAACUUUCGAGUUCAAAAAAUUCAUAUUUAUAUGAAAACAAUUUUGUAUCAAAUUCAAAUAAAAUAUGUUCAAAAUAUUUUUAUUCUGGGUUUAAAAUAACAAAUGACACCUAAUUAGGUGAGACUUUACAAAUGGCAAACUAACUUCGAACUUGUUCAUUUUAAGAUGGACGGAGUCAAACUUCUUAGUAAUCUCUAACCAAACCCCCAAAGGUUGGGAUGUAAGAUAUCACAUGCAAUAUAUAUUCGAUCCAAGUAUAUAAACAUUUGCAACAUGAAUCAAAUCUAAAAAAGACUUAGAAUCGUUUACUUACCUCCAGCCAUUGUUUUGAGUUACUGUAAUCAGUGCAAGCCUUGAUUUCCAAAUUCUGAUAUCUUCUUUUAGAUGGUGUUGAAGAUAAAAACAGCAGAGAAACGAGUUCAGGACCAUGAGAGAUCUAUAUAACUGUGGCUUCCCAUCAUACCACGUUGCUUCUGAUUUGCCACACUAUGAGCAGUUUGUAGAACAUGCUCCUUAACCGCAGCAGAAGUGAGAGAUGGUAGAGGACAUGGUCAAGGUGUUGGACCACAUCAGUGUGGUGAACGUGUGUGAACAUGUAGCCGAUAACAUUCUCCCACUUGGUCCACACUUUUAACCUAAUGUCCUAUCUUAGUCUAUCAAUUAUCCGCAUUAAGUAACAAAUACAUGAAUCAUGGCGAUAAGUCCUCUAUAUAACGAGUGUUACCUUCCAUGUAUUACAGUGUAUUCAUUUCUUAACAUUAUUCUUUAUGUGGCAAUAUUACGUAAUGAAUAAACCCUAUAUUCAUUCUUGGUCCAAUGAAGUUGAAUUUUCUCAAAAUUAAAUAAAUGUGCACAUUAAUAUGAGAAAACAUCAUAAUAAGAGUUUGUACAAUAAAAACUAAAUAAGGGAACUAAGUCCCAUGUUCACUAGAUGAUCUUUGAAUUUCAAUGGUGGCAUGCCCUUAGUCAAAGGAUCAACAAUCAUCAAUUCAGUGCUAAUAUGCUCAAUAACCACUUUCUUUUCUUUAACAUGUUCUCUUAUGGCUAGAUACUUAAUGUCAAUGUGCUUGCUUUGACUUCCACUUUUAUUGUUCUUUGCCAUAAAGACUACAGCUGAAUUGUCGCAAUAUAUACUCAAUGGCCUAGAUAUUGAAUCCAUAAUUCUAAGCCCGAAAAUGAAACUCUUAAGCCAUACACCAUGUGAAGUAGCCUCAGAACAACAUAUGAACUCAGCUUCCAUAGUAGAAGUAGUAGUCAAGGUUUGCAUAAUGCUUCUAUAAGAUAUAGCUCCACCGGCUAAUAUAAAAAUGGAUCCAGAUGUUGAUUUACGCGAAUCAACACAACCAGCAAAGUCUGAAUCUAAGUAACCAACAACCUUUAAAUUGCUUGUCCAUCUGUACAUAAGCUUGUAAUCUUUGGUUCCUUGAAGAUACCUCAUCACUUUCUUUGCAGCUUUCCAGUGGUCCAAACUUGGGUUACUCCGAUAUCGUCCUAACAUUCCAACAACAAUUGCAAUGUCAAGCCUUGUGCAGACCUGAGCAUACAUCAAACUUCCAACUACAGAAGCAUAUGGAAUGUUCUUCAUUUGUUCCCUCUCAAUAUCAUUUUUUGGGCAUUGGUUCAGAUUGAACAUAUUAUCCUUCACUAUAGGGGAAACACUAAGUGAACAAUCCUUCAUCCAAAAUCUCUCUAAAACUUUAUUGAUAUAGGUUUCCUGAGACAGACCUAAGAUACCUUGAAAUCUGUCUCUAUGGAUCUUAAUGCCAAUGACAUAAGAUGUCUCACCCAUAUCCUUCAUGUCAAAAUUUUUAGAGAGGAAUUGUUUCACCUCAUGAAGUAAACCCUUAUCAUUGGUUACAAGUAAGAUGUCGUUCAUGUAUAAAACAAGAAAACAAACUCUACUCCCACUGACCUUAAGGUAUAUGCAUUGAUCCAUAACAUUUUCUACAAGGUCAAAUGAAGAAAUUAUGUUAUGGAAUUUUAAAUACCAUUGGCGGGAUGGUUGUUUUAAACCGUAUAUGGAUUUCUUAAGCUUACAAACCAAUUGCUCACCAUCAUUAGAGGGAAAUCCUUCAGGUUGUUUCAUGUAAACCUCUUCCUCUAGCUCUCUAUUAAGAAAUGUUGUUUUCACAUCUAUUUGUUGCAAUUCCAAAUCAAAGUGGGCUACUAAUGCCAAUAUAAUGUGCAAGGAAUCUUUCUUAGAUAUAGGAGAAAAGGUUUCCGUGUAAUCGAUUCUUUCUUUCUGAGUGAACCCCUUUGCAACAAGUCUGGCCUUGUAUCUCUCAAUGUUGCCUAAUGAGUCUUUCUUUGUCUUAAAAAACCCAUUUACAACCAAUGGCUUUUGCACUGGAUUGUAGAUCCAGAAUCAAUCCACCAUGUGUUGGUAUUUACAUUAACCAUAUUAGAUUCAUAACAAACAAAUGAGGUAGGGUUACCUUUCUUCUCAAGCUAUUUCUGAAAUUUCAGACAUUUCUUCUUCAUGUGUCAUUUCUUUUUAUAGAAAAAACACUUUUCGUCUUUCUUAAUGUCAAAUUUGGGAGGAAUUUGUUGCUUCCCUUUUUGACUGGCUUGAGAUUUUCCUUUCUUUUGCGUCACCAGCAUGACACUUUCUCCUUGUUCCAUCAAUAACCUUCCUUCCUCUUGAACACACAUGGUCAUCAAUUCAUUGAUAGACCACUUAUCCUUAUGUGUGUUGUAAGAGAUUUUGAAAGGUCCAUACUGAGGCGGAAGAGUGUUAAGGAUAAAGUGCACCAAGAAGGAUUUGGACAUUUCUACCUCGAGCUUCUUCAAUUGAGUCAGUAUGUCCAUCAUUUCCAUGAUGUGUUCACGUACACCUCUUACACUAGUGAGCUUCAGGGAUGUGAACAUAAUUAGGGUGCUUGCCAAGGCUUUAUCUGAAGUGACGAAUUGCUCGUCAAUAACCUUUAGAAAAUCGCGGACAUUCUCAUGUUGCUCGAUUGAACCAUGUAUAUCAGCAUUAAUUUUUGUCUUAAUGUACAUUAGGUUGAGGCAAUUAGAUUUCUCCCAGCAUUCGUACAAUAGAAUUUCAUCAGGUGUGCUGGUAUCAGUGAUCUUAUGUGGUUCAUCUUUCCUUAUGGCAUAGUCUAUGUCCAUGCACCCUAAUUGAAGAAGAAUUCUCUCCUUCCAUAUCUUAAAGUUAUCUCCCCUGAGUUCGAGAACCUCACAACAAAUAUCAGAUAUGCUAGUAAAACUGCACAAAAAGAUUACAAGCUUAUUAAAAUUUGAGGCUUUAAUUUAAAUUCAUGUUUUACCAAUGUAGAACAUGCUUAAAAAUUGAAUAUAAUUUUAUUAAAAAUUACAUGUUGGCUAAAUCUUUAAUUCAAUCAGAUUCAUUAUCUUUAUGAUAUACUUUAUCAAACUAUUUUACUGAAUUUAUGAAAUUUAUUAUGAAUAUAGUUUAAUAUUUUCUAUCUAUAAGCUUUAUGAUAAACCUAUUAAAUUAAUUCUUCCUAACUCUUGUGGGUAAAUUAGGAAAAAUCAAUUUUAAUAUUUUAUCUUAAUUAAUUAUAUAAACAUAAUGAAAUCCCCGUGGGGUAAAAUCGUCAUAUUUAUAUAAUUAAUUACAAUUAAUGUCCAUAAUGUGAUCCUUAUUUACUUAAUAUAUAAUUUUAUAGAAUUAAGGAUGUUGUGGCUAUUCCUUAAUUAUUUAAAAUUAUAUGGUUCAUUAGAUAUUAAAACUAUAUGAUAUAAAUUUAACAUAUCUAACACAAAUUUAGGCAACAAUUGCAUGCAACUAAAGCUACAACUUUGAGUUAUCUAACUCAAAUUUAGGCUACAUUUUUACACAUACAAACAUAUAAAUUAGAACAAAAUAAUUUAAUUUGCAUGUAUAAAAAUCACAUAAUAAUUUAAAAUUAAUUUAAAAGGAUUUCAAAUUAUGAUUAGGUACCUAAACCCAACAAAAUUAUUUCAAACAGGCCAUAAGGGCCUAAACUGGUCCAAUUUUUAACAAUCAGUUACAAGCCCAAUCAAAAAAAUAAUUUAAAUUGGGCUAUAAGGGCCUAAAUUGGUCCAAUUUUAACAAUUACCCCAUGGCCCAACAAUUAAAGCCCUUUAUUAUUAUUAUUUUUUUUGCAAAAUGGGCCAUUGCCCAUGCAUUAAGCCCAAUGGGCCCAAUAGCCACUUAUAUUAAGGCCCAAAACAAUAGUGGGACCAAUCUCUCUCUAGGUUCCACAAAUUAAUAACACCUACACCGAAACCCACCAUCCUAAUUUUUCGCCACCCCGUAGACUGCUUCAUCCCCAACAGCGCCAUGCACGCUGCGACCCGCAUGGACUGCAUCAUCACUGACAACGACGUGCUCGCUACCACCCACAUGGACUGCACCAUCACCGACUAGCUAUGGAGCCGCCUACAUCACAUGGCAGGAAGAGCCCCACCACACGCGACAACAUCACCAGCAAGAACAACUUCUGUUUUCAUCGACCAGAUCAAGAUGGUUGGCCGCGACGGCGUCAACAACCAUCACAAACGGGACAGUUGCAUCCACCGGAGUGCAGCCCUGAUUCCUCCAUUCUCGCCUUUACGCGAGCUCCUCCACGCCGAUAUUGAUACCGUGAAGACCAGUGGCGUGGGGUGGUGGGGCUGGUGUUGUGCGUGGUAGGCGAUGAGCGGAGGGAUUGGUACAGAGGUCGACGGACACUCACAAUGGCCUCUGUACCCACACCCACCAGAUUGCAACCCUAGCCCUUACCAUUGUCACCUUCGGAAAUGGGUGUACCUGAGGCAGACCCGCUUUAACAACUUAGAUUGUCGUCUGAGUUCCAUUUUAUCCCAUUGAUGAGGAGCUUCUGGUGCAGUAUUUUUUUUUUUUAUUAGGGGACUAGUUAGACUACUGGUCGGAGCCUAAGCAUUUAUAAGGGCCUGAAUGGUGAUGCUUCAAGCGUUUCAUAUAAGUACCAGUUCACAGAAAGCAUCGAAGGUUGCGACCUUUUAGCCGUGAGAAGAUGCCUUGAGUUGGAACCCGAGUGGCUGCGCCUCUUGGAUGUUUCUAUCAAGCAUGGGUAUUUCGUUUUUAAAAUAGUGAUUUGAGAUAUCAACCAAUGGAUGUUUCUAUAAAGCACACCGUAUGAUUGUAUCUUACAACCAGAAGAGAAACCAUUAACUAAGCAAUUUUGGUACAAAACAAAUACCAAGGCAGAGGAAAUAUUAAGUUUGCUCUGAUACCAAAUGUAAGAUAUUGCAUGCAAUAUAUAUUCGAUCCAAGUAUAUGAACAUUUGCAACAUGAAUCAAAUCUGAAAAAGACUUAGAAUCAUUUACUUACCUCCAACCAUUGUUUUGAGUUACUGUAAUCGGUGCAAGCCUUGAUUUCCAAACUCUGCUAUCUCCUUUUAGAUGGUGUAUUUCUAAAGAUAAAAACAACAGAGAGAUGAGUUUGGGACCAUGAGAGAUCUAUAUAACUGUGGCUUCCCAUCAUACCACAUUGUUUCUGAUUUGCCACACUAUGAGCAAUUCGUAGAACAUGCUCCUUAACCGCAGCGGAAGUGAGAGACGGUGGAGGACGUGGUCAAGGUGUUGGACCACAUCAGGGUGGUAAACAUGUGUGAACAUGUAGCUGAUAACAUGGGAUUCAAAGCAAUUACAUUUCAUCAAGAAAUGUAAAGGUCAACUAUUAUAUGCUAUUGAUAAGAAUCGAAAGUGUCAAAUAUUAUAUCCCAUUGAUUAAGGAUGAAAAUGUCAAUUAUUAUAUCUCAUUAAUUUUUCUUACCUCAAAGAAACACUCAAAAACCUUGGAGAAAUUAAUCGUGAAGAAUCUAAUUCUCAUAUAACAUAAUAAAAAUUAACUAUUACUAUUAACUAUUUAUCAAAAAUUUAUAAAUUACACAAUCCUAAUAAUAUUUUAUAUUAUUAUUAGUAAUCCUAAAUAAUUUCUUAUUUUAAUAUUAUUAUCACUAAUAUUAUUUUCAACUUUCUAAUCGAUAACAAUUUAAUUAAAAAAAUUCCAAAUUUCCAUAAAACUUAUGUCCUUUUUAAAAUUCUAUUCCAAUAAUCAUUCAAUACCUAUAUAUUUUAAACUAAAACUCCUAAAAUUGUCAUAUUAAAUUAUUAUUACUAUUAUACCAGCUUUAUACCUUACCAAAUUCUCAACAUUUUUUUUUAAAUUUUUUAUUUUUCAUUAAGGAGACUACCUUUCUUCUUUCUUUUUUAUUUUAUUUCUUUUCUUUCCUUUAUAUAUAGUAAAGACACCACAUUCUCUCCUCAUUACAAUCUUUCCUUAACUACAAAAGUAUCUUUUAUUCAUUUAUUAUUUUUUCCAUUGCCACAUGCAUUAACCAAUACACCAUUCUUAUUUUCUUGUCUUUUUUUUUCUUCCACCUUACACCCUAAACUCUCUACGUUUUUUUUUUCUUUUUCUUUUUUUCUCUUUUUUUCCCUUCAAACUGAGCCUAUCAUAUUCAAUUGCAUGUGUAGCAAGAAAGAGGGUGAAAGCUUUGAAUUCACCUCCAUUAUCAAAUUAUAAACAUUAUAAUCAAGAAUUGAAUUGAUUUUCAACUAAGGUUUUGAACUUAACGAAGGUAGGCAAAGCUUGAUCUUUAGUAUGUAAGGGAUGAAGUGAAGAAAAUUGAAAAAAAUCAUGGAAUAAUAAGAAAUAACUUGCACUAGUUGUGGAGAUAAUAGUGGCAGGAUCUCACAAAUCAGUACGGACUAAAGUAAAAGGAUGAGAAGCUCUGGAUUCAAAUAAUGGAAAAGGUAAUCUAUGGUUUUUUUUCAUAUUGGCAAACACAACAAGCAUUAUGUUUAUGACCGUCAUUAGAGAUAUUACAAGAUGUAAGAAUCUACUUCAAAGUAUCAACAACAGAAUUACCAAAACUUGAGUACCAAAGUUUAGCCAAGUUAUUCAAAUUCAUAGUAAAAGAGCCAUGACCAAAAAUAAAGAGGGCUAAAGGUGCAUCAUAAUAUUUAUUGUGUUUCCAAAAAUAUAUUAAUUGAUUAAAUCCAAAAAUCAUUUUUUUAAAAUUUGAAGAAGGUAGCUAUGAAUUGGAUAUUUAAAAAAAAAAAUCAUUUUACAAUAAUUAAUCUCUCUCUAAUUUAUUUUUCAUUUACUGUGAUAUUUCAUCUUUAUUAAUCAAAAUAAAUGUCCACAAAAAAGUAAUUAAAUAAUAUAAACUUUAAAUUAUUAACUACAAAGACCAAUCAAAUUUAUUAAACCACGAAUUUAAUUAUUUUUAUAUUAGUAGGGCAAAUAAUUCAAAAAAUUAAUAAAAUAUUUACAAGCUAUUGAAUAGUGGAGAGUAGAACAUGACAUUUUGGUGGACCAAGACUAGCUCCCACAAGGGACGUUGAUACACUAUUUAAAAGAUAAGCCUCCUGAUAACCUUAUCUGACACGUCAUUCGUGCUUAUAAUUUCUUUACUUUUUCCAUAAUGGGGUUAAACAUUGAUCAACCCAACGUGCACUACACACUUGCAAGGUUUCCAUCACUCUAAUGCUUAAAUAAACCUUUUUGUAGUAAUGAUUGUCGAUGUGGGAUUGCAAGAAUUUGAAUUUUGAAAAGGGAAAAUCAAUGUUUUCAGAACCGGACCGGUGAUCGAACCGGAAAAGUUACCGGUUCACGGUUCACUGGUCGGACCGGCGGUCGAACCGUUAUCGAACCGCUAUCGAACCGGUGACGUCAUAAAUAUAUAAUUUAUAUAUUAUUAAAAUUAAAAAUAAUUAUAAAAAUUUUAAAAUAUAUAUGAAUAAAUUAAACAUCAAUAAUAUUAUUUUAUAUAUUUGAUAUUAUCAAAUUAAAUCAUAUUAAAUGAAAUGUAUACAAUAUUUAAAUGUGAAUAUAUUAAAAAUGAAAAUUUUAACUAAUUUAUAAUUUUUAAAUAUAUUAUAUUAUUUUUAUUUAAUAUUAUAAAAAAAUUAAAAUCCAAUAUAUAUUGUUUUGUUUGGCAUAUCAAAUAACAAAUCAGUGUAGCCGAGUGGUGUCCUAAUGCACUUCAAAACCUGAGGUCCCAGCUUCAAAUCCCCUUCUUGCAUUUGUUAAAUUUUUUUCAUUCAUAUUAUCAUAAUACUAUAAUAGUUUGCAAUCCCACAUCGGUGAGAGAAAUAAGGGUGCAAAGGAUGCCUAUAAAAGGCAUCCUUGUUGAAAGCUACAGCACACGUCAACCUUGUGGGCUCAAGACUGAGCCUACUUAAAUGGUUUGGGUGUGGGCUUUGUCAUGCAAAGACAUGGCCCAGUAUGGUCUUUGGCCUACAACGCUUAAUAUUUUAUACAACGGGCUUGCAAAAUGAUGGGCCAAUAUGGACUGUUCGGUUCGUUUAGAACCGUCCGGUUCUACCGGUUCACCGGUUCGACCACUGGUUCAGACGGUUCGUAACCGGUCCAAUAGUUAAACGGUUUAAUAUGGAGGACCGGACCGAAAAUGUGACCGAUUGACGGUUGGACCGACCGGUCCGGUCCGGUUUUUAAAACAUUGGGGAAAAUCCAAGAGAAAUGAAACGGGCUUAUGAUUGUCCACCAACACCAACUGACCAACCAUGCUUCAUUUGACAAAAUGAAGAUAUUAUAUGUAUAUAUAUAUAUAUAUAUGUAUGUAUGUGUGUGUGUGCAUUAUUAGCAUUAAAUAUAUUAAUCAUAUAUAUAAACAAAUAUUAUAAAUUAUAUACAUAUAUUAUAAAUAAAUCAUAAUUAAAUUAUUAUAAAUAAAUUAUUUUUUGUUAUUGUGACUUUUAUAUAAUAAUUAUAUAUAAAACAAAUAUAAAUUUUUUAAUAAAAUUAUCAAAAUUUUAAAAUAAAAAUAUUUAAACAAAUUAUUAUUAUUUCUUUUAUGUCAUUAAAUACAUCUAAAUUAGAUGAUUAUGCAUAAAGUAUGUUUUCAAGUUAUAAAUAUUAUUGUUAAAUAUAACAACGGUGUAUAUAUCAUCAUUUAUUUUAUAUUAUUUAAUAUAAUUGAAUUAAAUUAAAUCAUAAUUUUAAUAUUAAAUAUAUUUCAAAAUUAGAUAUAUUAUAAUCAAAUAUCAUAAUAUUAUUAUGAAAUAAUAUUUAAUGUGAUUUAAUAAUAAAUAUACACUUAUAAAAUUCAUAUUUUUUAUUGAUACAUAUGAUAUUAUCAUCAAAUAUGAUAAAUCAUAUUAUACAUAUAUCAAAUUCUUCAACAAAAUAAUUUUAAAAUGUCUAUUAUAUUUCUAAUUACAUUUUUACAAUUCUUACAUUUUCAUGAAUUUUGAUCAAUUUUAAGCCUAUUGACAUUUUUUUUUCAAAAUAUCCUUCGAUAUAUCCAAUAUAUCCCCGAUAUAUCCAAUAUAUCCCUAAUAUAUCCAUAAAAUCGAAUUACCGAUACAUCUGUGAUUACCGAUAUUUUCAUCCUUAGUCAUAUUUGGAAAAUUCGAGAAAGAAGAGCAAGGGUAUCAAUUUUUAGGCAAUAGACAAAAAUGUCAAAUUUCCACUUGCCCAAAAAUGUUGAUUCACGACAAAACAUACAUCACUUUUAGGUAUUAUUGCAUACCAUUAUGUCCACCCUAGAAGAUGGAUCUAGUAACUUGAUGGCUCAAUGUGGAAAACAAAGAGAAAAAUUUAUUGUACAAGUAAAGUCUAGAAGAUGGGUAAUUUUCCUACUCAACCUCCUCCUGAACUCUAUAAAUACUCCCCUAAUCUUCCUCAUAUUCAUCUCUCAAAAGUCUCUCUUCAUCUCUUUCAUAACCUUCAACUUAGUCUCUUUCUAUUGUUUCUCAUAAAAUCAAGGUUUGUACUCACUCUUAUCUCUCUCUCUCUCUCUAUAUAUAUAUAUAUAUAUAUAUAGAUGUUAGUCGCCUUCAAUGUAUGCAUCUGAGAACUAUGGAUGAAUGAUAUGACAUGAAUUUCAAGAUGAAGGUUGAGUAGUGACCUAUGGAUAUGGUUUUCAUUAUCUCUCUACAUGAUCUUAAUUAUAGUCUUAACCUUUUGAUCUGUGUUUUGCAGGCAGUCGUUCAUUUGCUUUCUUUCAAAUAUACAGUUAUAAUCCAUGGAGUUGAACUUAGCACCAAAGUUUGCACAAAAGAUCUUCGAAGGAGAAGGUGAAACAUAUUACAGUUGGUCAAGUGCUGAAUAUGAAUUGCUCAAGGAAGCAAAGGUUGGUGGUGGAAGGCUUGUUCUUCAGCCUCGUGGCUUCGCUCUCCCUUACUAUGCUGACAUAAGUUGUUCCUUUGUGUUCAGAAAAGCUAUUGCUGCAUUGAUUUUGGAAAUUUAAUUUAUAGUAUAAGGCCAAAUAGAAGCCUUAAAUUAGGUUAAGAACCUUAGUGACAAGGAGUUGGGUUUAAUUUUGUGCACAAAAAUUUAUCCCUUCCUAAUUUUGUUAUAAAUGUGAUAUUAUAAAAGAGAGAUUCAUUUUCUUGUAAAAUUGGUUAUGAAUGUGGACAAUGCUCCCAUCUCUUUCCUUCAAUCAAACUCUUCAAAUGUAAAAUUAAUAUCACGAUUCAAACGAUUCUUAAUAGAUCUACUAAAAAUGAAAAAGAGAUUCGGAUGUGCCUACUUUAUAUGGCUUUAUAUCGAUCAAAAUCUUCACAAUCAUUCAUGUCCUUGGCACAGUACCUCAUGUUCCUUAAUGUAUAUUUCAACUUCGUAUUAAGACUAACAAAUUAUGUAAACUCUAUUUUUGUUGAAGGAAUCUUUAAAGAUUGCUAUUGAAAACUUAAGAAAUGGAGAACCAAGACUCAAUGGAUAACUAUCUUCUUGUGUAUACUCUUCAACUGAGUAAAAUAAUUUGUUUGUAUUAAAACAUUAGAAAAUAAAUUUGGAGAAGAACAUCAUGUAGAUCACUAUUUUAUAUGUACAUCUGUGAGAUGGAAAAUGUUGUACUACUAUUAAUUAUAUGGCAAUAAGUUGUUCCUUUGUGUGAUCAGAAAUUCUAUUGCUGCAUUGAUUUUGGAAAUUUAAUUCAAAGUAUAAGGCCAAAUAAAAGCCUUAAAUUAGGUUAAGAACCUUAGUGACAAGGAGUUGGGUUUAAUUUUGUGCACAAAAAUUUAUCCCUUCCUAAUUUUGUUAUAUAUGUGAUAUUAUAAAAGAGAGAUUCAUUUUCUUGUAAAAUUGGUUAUGAAUGUGGACAUUGCUCCCAUCUCUUUCCUUCAAUCAAACUCUUCAAAUGUAAAAUUAAUAUCACGAUUCAAACAAUUCUUAAUAAAUCUACUAAAAAUGAAAAAGAGAUCCGGAUGUGCCUACUUUAUAUGGCUUUAUAUCGAUCAAAAUCUUCACAAUCAAUCAUGUCCUUGGCACAGUACCUUAUGUUCCUUAAUGAAUAUUUCAACUUCGUAUUAACACUAACAAAUUAUGUAAGCUCUAUUUUUGUUGAAGGAAUCUUUAAAGAUUGGUAUUGAAAACUUAAGAAAUGGAGAACGAAGGCUCAAUGGAUAACUAUCUUCUUGUGUAUACUCUUCAACUGAGUAAAUUUGGAGAACAACAUCAUAUUGUAGAUCACUAUUUUUUUUUUCCCGACAUGAACCCAUUUUAACUUUUGAUUUUAUGUUUUAGCUCUCAAUUUUUAAUUUUUAAUUUCUAAUUCUUAAAUUUUAACUUUAAGCAAUCAACUUUAAGAGUACUAAACUCUGCACAAAAGGAGAUUCCCACGUUUUAUUUUAUGUGGAUUGCCAAGAUUUUGGACUUUAGGAAAAUAUAAGUGUCCUGUUUGAUAACUAUUUUUUAGAAUAGUUUUUUAUUUUUUAAAACAAAAAAUACAGGAAACAUGUUUAACAACCAAAAACUAUUUUCCGUUUUAUAUUCUAAAUUAAAAAAAAAAUGGGGUUUCAUAUAACACUUUUUAGUUGUUUUUUUUUUAUUAUUUUCACUUGUUUUGUAAAGAUUGUUUUAAAGAAUAAUUAUAUAAACAUAUAGAAUGAUUAAAAAUAAAACACUACAUAUUAAAAUUAUUUUUAAAACAUAUUUUAAAAUAUUUAAAAUAAAUUAAAAAUAUUUUAGGUUUUCAAAUAGACUUUUGUUCUACAAAAAAUCAUAUAAUAGUUUUCAAAAAUUGUUCUCAAAAACUAUUUUUCAGAAUUAUUUUUGAAAACAGAUACCAAACAUACCCUUAAUGUUGACUUUUGGGGCAUGACAAUCCAAAUUAAAAGUCACAUUUUUAUUUUUUGGAGUUUUUGAUAUUUAUACAGCUUUAUUAAAUUACAAUUCUAAGAAUAUUUUAGGAUUUAUAAAAAUUUAAAAAGUAUUUUCAAAUUUAUGACUUUUGUGAAAUUUCAAUUGAAAGUUUUCUAUUAAAGAGAUAACUUCAAUGGGAACUUAUCUUUUAAGUAAAAAAGAAAAAAAUAAUAAAAAGAAAAAGAAAGAAAAAUCAAAGAGGAAAUAAAAGAUAAUACAACAUGCAUGCAAUCGAUUUUCAUUACAUUCUCUUUUAAGGUUUCUAUAUAUAUGGGAGUUAUGAUUUUCUCGUAAUGCCAAAAAUACCCAAAGUUUUCCUAUAUAUAUAGGAAGUUGUUUCCCUUUGGAUUUUUACUUCGAUAGGCAAUAAGUUGUAAUUUCCUUAGAAAAUGGGGCUCUAUAUUUACUUAUAAAAGUCAUAGAUCCAUCAUCAGAUGAUAUCAGUUAUCUUUAUGACAAAAUAUUUAAGAUGAUUAAGAAAGAAAAAUCUAUGUUCUACAUACCAGCAUUCAAAGUUCUUGAUUUCAAACAAGACUUCAAUUAUGCAUUAAGGUAUGUCUAACAAUUUUAUUAUUGUGAAAUCACAAAAUUCAAAGUUUCUUGAGAUUAUGAAUCCUUUUCCAUAAAUUAGCAAUAAAUUAUUGAAGAGAAAGCUUUAUACAAUUCAGUCCAUAUACUCUUAUAACCACUAAUUAUAGCUAUAUACAUCUCAUAGGUUGGUCAUAAUGUAAUUUUUAGAAAAAAAAAAUGACGGUUCAAAAUGUAAACCUAACAACGUGUUAGAUUACGGUUUGUUAUUUGGCUCCAAAGAAGCAAACCUAAGGUUUUGUUGACUUCAGAUUUGAUAUCUCACAACCAAUUGAUUGUUAGCUAGAUUAAUAAAUGGCUAAUAUUUGGGGGUAAUAAUCUUUUCAAUGGAAAAUUAAUGCAACUUAGUUCAACAACUUGUAUUAGGUUGCAUAGUACAAGCCUCUACUUGAAGAGGGUUUAGUACAUGCUUAUCAUGUCAAGGAAUUAUUUAUCACUAUCAACUUUAGCACAUGCGUACGAUGAGGUAAGAAAAAUAAGCAAAGAUUCCAAACUUUUUUACUUAAGGAAUAAUUUUAACCCUAGACUAUGUAAAAAUAUUAAUAGUGAUUUUUUAUUUUAAUAUUUUAUUAAAAAAAAAUGAAUCAAAAAAUCAAUACGACCAAAUAGGUGGAGCAAAGUUUUAUCUCAUAUUAUAAUGUCCAUGUGUUUAAAUCACAUCUGGGUUUUCCAUUUAGUUAUGAGGAAAAAUUCUACUAUAAUAAGCAUUUACUUGGUAUUUGAGUAUAGUUUAGAUUUCACAUUAAAUCAAGACACAUGCCUAUGUAUAUUGAAUGAGAGUAAACUAUUUUAAUAUUACCAUAUAAAAUAUUACAAAAAUUAAAUAAAAAUUAGACACAACUAUCAAGCUUUGAAACAUCUCAUGUUUUUUUAUUCCUUAUAUCUAUAACUUAAAACACGAGCUCUUACUUCAAAAUGUUUGUCACUCUUGCUCAUGCAUGUACAUGAUCAUUUUCAUCUCAUAAUUUUUCCCCUUCAUGACCUAUAUAUAAUAUUUAUAAAAAUAUUGUUAACAACUUUCUUUACUUUAUAACAUUGAUCGAAUUUCAUCUAAGUCCUUUUAUCUCUCUAUUAUAUAAAAAUUUGUGAUUCAUAUAGCCUUGUUACACAUGUUUUUACUAGUGCACAUGACUUCUCUAAUAUACCAUAAUUAAGGUGGUCAAUUUUUUUAUUCUACCUAUAAACUUGCUUGAAUCAGAUUAAUCUUGACUCCAUACCAUGACUUUCUUAUGCACCACGGUCUCCUCAUAUGCCAUGACCCCAUCAUGCAUCACACACUCUUUGUUUGGCUUCUAUCAUAUCUAUUCAGAUUCAAAAAUUAUUACCAUUUCCACGUUUCAUAUAUCACAUGCCAAUGAGAGAAAAAUUCACUCCACCUUCAAUCAAAAUUUUUUGUGCAAUCCUCUUGUGUGUUCCAUUUGAACUUUGGAUAUUUUUCUUAUCUUCUCAAGGAAUUUUUAUGAUGUGCUCUUCUAGAAAUCUGGGUCCUUAUAACAUGCAGUUAAUUAAAUAAUAAGACACUUUUUUCUACCAUGUUGCAGUGUCUGAUUGCAUUACCUUUAAUUCACACUAACUUUGGAAUCUGAGGAUGUUACUUCCGAGCAAAAUUGGUUGUACAAUCUUGGAGAGUGUCACACUCUACUCCAUGAACAUUAUCAACAGUACCAGAGAAUAUCAUGGAUGAUUUUUUGUACGAAAUAAUAUCUCUCAAUAUGGGUUAAAAUCUGUUAUUAUCAUUUGAUAGGGAGAGGAGCUUUCGGAUUUUUUUUAUUUUUUUUAUUUUUUUUUUAUUAAAGUAAUUAGAUGAUAAGGAAAAAAGAUUUUUCACAUAUGCAUACCAUGAAAAACAUAAUAGGAAAAAAAAUAGAGUAAAUUCUAAAAGAUUAUCUUUCAUUUUUUUUUUCUAAAAUAAUAAUAAUAAUAAAAUUUAAAAAAAAAAAAAAAACCAUUCCUCAUAAUUUUUUUUCUUUCAUUUUUUCAUAAACAAUCAAGUAAAAUAAAAAUUUUAUACUUUUUCUUUUGUUCUCUUUUCUUUCCUUAAUUUCUUUUUCUCAAACUUCUUGAUACUUGCUGAGCAUUGCCUAAUGAUUUUAUUAACUCCUUAAAUGUAGUUUUUAAUUUGCUUUGUUGGAGGAAAUACACCCACAUUAUAUAUUCAAUGGGAGUUUGCACAAAAAAUCUUUAAAGGAGAAGGUAGUUCAUACAAUAGUUAGUCACAAUGUAUUAACUCAAAAUAAAAGGAAAUAUUCAUUUUCAUUCAUAUGUCUUAGUGAAAUGAUACAUCAAUAUUUAUAGGGAUCAAUCUCAAUUAGAGUGCUUAAAAUUAAGCUCUAUCACCACUCUAAUGACUUAUCUACAACUAAUAUUGUACAACAAGAUUAACAGUCAAUCAACCUAUAAAUUAAAAUAAAGACAAUUAAGGAUAAUUAUAAUUAAUCAAGAAAUUCCAACACUUCCCCUCAAGUUGGUGCAUAGAUGUCACACAUGCUCAACUUGUCUAAAAACUUUGAGAACACUCAAUUUGACAUUGCUUUGGUGAGAAUGUCAACCAAUUAGUCUUUUGAUUGAAUCUUGGUCAACUCUACAAUUUUUUCAUCUAACUUCUUCUUAAUGAAGAAUUUGUUUACCUCUACAAUUUUUUUAAAAUUUUUCAUUCACCCAUGUUGGGUUUAGUCCUCUAAACUUGAUAUAUCUGAAUUUUGAAAAAAAUGUGGAUGCUUCUCUCAUCUCCUCAUCUAAUUCCCAAGUGGCCUCUCGAAAACUAUAAUUGUUCCAUUGAACCUCUACCAACUUGGCAAUAGCAUAACCUAGUACCUUAUCUAUCACAUCUACAAUCAGAACGGGUAGUUCUUCAUCAGUCAAAUCCUUUGACAUUUGAAUAGGCUCCAACUCUACAACAUGAGAGGGAUAAAAAAACAUACUUCCUCAAAGCCGAUACAUGAAACACAUUAUGAAUCUUAAACAAUCUUGGGGGCAAGGACACUUUAUAUGCUAAGGUGCCUACUCUUUCCAAGAUUUCAAACGGUCCCACAAACUGAGGAUUGAGCUUUCUGUUUCUCUCGAAUCCCAUCGUAGACUUUGUAGGCAAAACUUUUAAGAGAACAUGAUCACCAACCUCAAACUCCAAAUCUCACAUGUGAUUAUCAGCAUAACUCUUUUGUUUACUUUGAGCUGUUUUCAAUCUUUAUUUAAUCAAGUCAUACUUUUCAAUAGUUAACUGCACAAGUUCAAGCCCAAAAAGUUUCCUCUCUCUAACAUCAUCCUAAUAAACAGGAGAUCGACAUCUCCUACCAUACAAUCCCUCAAAAGGUGUCAUCCCAAUGCUAACUUAAAAGCUAUUAUUAUAGGCAAAUUUUACUAAAGGUAGUUAAUCAUCUCAAUUACCUUUUAGGUCUAAAGUACAAGCUCUUAACAAAUCUUUUAAAACCUGAAUUACCCUCUUUAAUUGACCAUCGGUUUGAGAAUGGAAAACAAUACUAAAACUCAACUUAGUAACCAAAGUUUUCUGUAAACUAUGCCAAAAUCUAGAAGCAAAACGAGGGUCCUUAUUGAAUACUAUAGAAAUAGGUACCCUGUGCAUCCUCACAAUCUUCUUGACAUAAAAAGAAGCCAAUCGGUCCAUGGAGAAACUAAUUUUCAUAGGUAGAAAAUAAGUAGAGUUAGUCAAUCAAUCAACAAUCACCCAAAUAAAAUUAUUACUGCCUAAGUGGUAACCCUAUCACAUAAUCCAUGGUAAUAUGUUCACAUUUCCAUUUAGGAAUAGAAAGUGGUUGCAAAGACCUUAUUGGGUGUAUAUGUGUAGCUUUCACCUGUUGACACACUAAACACUAAGCCACAAAUUGUGCAAUAUCUCGCUUCAUGCCUGACCACCAAUAAUUCUGCCUCAAAUCUUGGUACAUCUUCAAGCCUCCUACAUGGAUUAUAAGUCUAGGACAAUGCGCUUCCUUCAAAAACUCUCUUCUUAAGUCUCCAUCAUUUGGGACACUAAGUCUAGUCCCAAAUCUUAAGAUUUCAUCAUAUGAUAACAUAAAGUCAAGCUUACCGCUCUUCUUAACUUCCUUCAUAAGUUGGACUAAUUGCAAAUCAUUCUUUUAUAAGGUCUUAAUUAUCCUAACCAAGUCUUGUUGUACUAUGAAAUUCACUACAAGAGCUCUUGAGUUCCGAACUCUGAUAUGGAUUUGUAAACACCUCAAAUCCUCUAAUAAUCGCCUCUAACAACUUCUAAUAGUUGCUAAGGGACCAACUGAUUUCUUGCUCAAGGCAUCAACCACAACAUUUGCUUUCUUCGGAUGAUAUUGAAUAAUGUUGUCAUAGUCCUUAAGUAACUCUAUCCAUUUCCUUUGUUUCAUGUUUAAUUCCUUUUAGGAAAACAAAUACUUCAAACUCUUAUGAUUUGUGAAUAUCUCACAAGUUUCACUGGAAAGGAAAUGUCUUUAAAUCUUAAGUGCAAAAACACUACAACUAGCUCUAAAUCAUGAGUGGGGUAUUUUUGCUAACAAGGCUUUAGCUGUCUAGAAGCAUAAGCCACAACUUUCUUAUUUUGCAUAAGAACACACCCCAAACCCUAAUGAGAGGCAUCAUUAUACACUCAUGUUCCUCUACUUCUCAAGUACACUAAAAUAUUAUCUAUAAAAACCACGACAAACUAAUCUAGAUAGGGUUUGAAUACCCUAUAAGUCCAUAAAGGCAGUAGGUGCAUUAGUUAAACCAAAAGGCAUAGUAAAAAAAGCUCAUAAUGCUAUCUAGUUUCAAAAAACAUUCUCUUGAGUAUAUUCUCAUUUCUAACCCUCAAUUGAUGAUAUCUAGACCGAAGAUCGAUCUUAGAGAACACACAUGCACCCUAAGCUGGUCAAACAAAUCAUUAAUAUGAGAAAGAGAAUACUUGUUUCUCACCAUCACCUUAUUUAACUCUCUAUAAUCAAUGAAAAGUCUUAUUAAUCUAUCAUUCUUCUUCACAAAUAAAAUAGGAGCUCUCUUCACAAAUCAUGAAUCCGAGGAAGAGAAUACUUGUUUCUCACAAUCACCUUAUUUAACUCUCCAUAAUCAAUGCAAAGUCUCAUGGAUAGGUCAUUCUUCUUCACAAAUAGAAUAUGAGUUCCUCAAGGUGAAACAUUGGGCCUAAUAAAACCUUUAUUUAACAACUCCCGAAGUUGAAUCUUCAACUCCUUAAGUUCUAUAGGUGCCAUCCUGUGUGAGGCCUUAGAGAUAUGAGUUCUUCAUGUUACCAAAUCAAUGGUAAACUCCACCUUCCUUUAGUGGUAAGCUAGGCAAAUCGUUUAGAAAGACAUAAGGAUAAUUCCUUACAAUGGGUAUGUUCUCCAACCUUAAAUCAUUUUCGUUACUCACCACAUAUGCCAAAAAGCCUUGAUAACCCUUCCUUAUCGAGAAAAUAACUAGUUUGCAAGGUUGAGAUCAUACGUAAUGGUCUCUCCACAUGUUUCCCCUCAAAACUAAACUCAAGUUGAAAAAAAAAAUGUGAAACAUAAACCUUUUUCCAAAAAAAAAAUCAACAAAGACAUGAUAGGAAGCUAAUCAAUCCAUUCCCAAAAUCACAUUAAAAUGCUAAAGGUCAAGGAGUGCUAAGUUAACUAACAUCUCCCUAUAACCAAUAUAUCAUCAUAAGAUAAUCUUUAAGCAUUCUACUGGCCACAUCAGAAUCUCCUAAAGGAGUAGAAACAUUAAUCAAAUCAAAGUCCAUGCUAGCCACUGACGUACGUAACAAACUAAUGAAAGAUAUUGAAACAAAAUAAUGCAUUGUGCUUGGAUUCACCACUAAGAAACCAAUUAGACAAUUUAAAAUUAUGAGGAAGAAUAUGUAGGAAUUUAUACUAGAUGAAGCUAAAACUUAAACUAUUGUGUCACUCAUCUAUCCCUAAAGUAAACUAAAUCAAGUUCCCAACAAGAUCAUAACCUAAUGCUCUUAUACCAUUCUGUCAUGCCCUAAAACCUACUCUAAGGGUGUGAUGGUCAUUUUACACCUCAAGCUUAAAGGCUUAAAGUGCGAACGACUCAAACAGUCAUCUUAUAACUAGAAGGUUAACAAUUACUAAAUUCUUGUUCAAAGUAGUAAAAUAAAACAUUUCUAUAAUCCUUAAAUCUCAACUUUAAAACUAACACAUCAAUCAAAGUACUAUUGUCCAAAUAACUCCAAACUCAAAUAAUUCAAAUAAUAAUUAAAUUCUAACAUCUAAAUAAUAUCCAAAAUAAAGUUUAAAACAAAAUCCUAAUAAAGACAAUUUCCAAGCCUAACCAUCACUCCUCGCUUGAAUUGAGAAUACUAGAAAAAAAUUGAGGGAAUGAGCUCAAAACCCAAUACGAAAUACUAAAAUAGUUUCAUAAAUCAAACAAUUUCAAUUAUGAUUACAAAUAAGAGAUACAAUAUACAAUUUUUUUUUUCAUAAAAUGAGUUUGAAUAUACUAAAGCGUCCAAAUUUUUUCAAUUUUUUAUUUUUUAUUUUAUAUAUAUAUAUAUAUAUGUCAAAACAAUUUCAUAUCAAAUCAUGCAUUCAAAAUAUUUUACUUUGGUUAUUAGAUAACAAAUGAUGCCCAAUUAAGUGAGACUAUACAAAUGGGUGACUAACCUUAAAUUUAUUAUUUUUAAGGUCGAUGAAACCAAAUACUACUGAUACUAGUAACCUCUAACCAAACCCUUAAAGGUUGAGAUUCAAAGCAAUUACAUUCCCCACCAAGAAAUAUAAAGGUUAACUAUUAUAUCUCGUUAAUUAGGGCAAAAAAUGUCAACUAUUAUAUCUUGUUGACUAGGGUCAAACAAAUCAUAAUCAAACACUUCGUUCCAUUUAUUCAAACAUACAUAAACAUAAUAUCUCUAUAUUUUUUUGUUAUAAUCAAAGAAAAAAGUUUUAAUAUAUUUUUCACGCAAGAUAUAUUUGAUCCAUGCAUAAAAACAAAAAUAAUAUUUUACAUAUUUGCAAAUAACAUAUAAAAAGAAAAUCAUUUUUUUUUACAAAAUUCACAUUAAUUUCCCUUACCUCAAAUAAGCACUCAAAAACCUUGAAGAAAUUAAUUGUGUAGAAUCUAUUCCUUACAUCACAUAACAAAAAAAUAACUAUUACUAUUGACUAUUUAUCUAAAAGUUAUAAAUUAGGCAAACCUAACAAUAUUUUAUGUUUGUAUUAGUGAUCCUAAAUAAUUUCCUAUGCUAAUAUCAUUAUCACUAAUAUUAUUUUCAACUUCCUAAACCAUAACAAUUUAAUUAAAGAAUUUCCAAAUUUCCAUAAAACAUAUGUUCUUUCCAAAAAUCUAUUGUCAAUAAUCAUUCAAUCGUUCAGCCCCACAUUUUGUUCGAUAUUUUGGGACAAGACCAUCUAUUUUCAAUCCCAUGUGUAGCAAGAAAGGGAGUGAAAGCUUUGAAUUUACUUCCAUUAUUGGAUUAUAAACAUUGUAAUCAACAAUUGAAUUGAUUUUCAGCUAAGGUUUUGAACUUGUGGAAGGUAGGCAAAACUUGAUCUUUAGUAUGUAAGGGAUAAAGCCAAGAAAACUAAGAAAAAUUAUCAAGGAAUAUUAAGAAAUAACUUGCACCAAUUGUGGAGAUAACAGUGGCAGGACCUCACAAAUCGGUAUGAACUAAAGCAAGAGGAUGAGAAGCUCUAGAUUCAAAUAAUGGAAAUGGUGAUCUCUGGCUUUAUGCAUAUUAGCAAGCACAACAAACAUUAUGUCUAUGACAGUCAUCAGAGAUAUUACAAGAUGUAAGAAUUUGCUUCGAAGUAUUAUCAACACAAUGACCAAGAUCGGAGUGCCAAGGUUCAGCCAAGUUAUCCAAAUUCGUAAUAGUAGAGAAGCCAUGACAAGAAGUAAAGACGACUGAAGGUGCAUCAUAAUAUUUAUUGUGUUUCCAAAAAUACAUUAAUAGAUUAAAUCCAAAAUCUUUUUAUUUAGUUAUUUAUUAAUAAUUUUAAGAAGGUAGCUAUGAAUUGUAUAUUAAAAUAAAAAUCAUUUUACAAUAAUUAAUCCCUCUCUAAUUUAUUUUGCAUGUAAUGUGAUAUUUCAUCCUUAUUAAUCAAAAUAAAUGUCCACCAAAAAUAAUAUAAACUUUAAAUUGUCAACUAUCAAGGUGUUCAUUUUGUUAGAGUCAUUCAAUCGAGGCCACCAUGUAUAAAACCAUAAAUUUAAUUAUUUUUAUAUUAGUCCAAAUAAUUCAAAAUAUUAAUAAAAUAUUUACAAGCUAUUGCAUGGUGGUACAACAUGAAGUUUUGGUGGAAUUUUCCCACAGGGACGUUGAGAAGCUACUUACAAAGAUAAGGUUCCUGAUAAACCUUAUCUCACGCAUCAUUCCUACUUAUAAUUCCUUUACUUUUCAACUUUGUGAAGAUAUUUUUUUCAUUGAAUAAGAAAAUGUUACGAUAAUAAUACCAAUUAAAAUUUGGUUGUGAUCUCUAUAUCUAAUUGCGAAAAGCACUUUUUAAUUUCCAACGUAUGAUAAUUGGAAAAUUCGGUAAGGAAGAGCAAGGACAUCAAUUGAAAAGGCAUGAACUUUGUGGAUAUGCAACAAGGUUUAUCAGUCUGUUUGAUUUUGAAAUUUGAUUUUUUUAUAGGGGCUUUUUGGGUACAAAAUUUUUAUUUAUAGCGUUUUCUCAAGUAUAAAAUUUUUACAAGAUAACACUAAUUUUAGAUAUACUUUGCCACCAUCAUCUCUCCAAGGGAAUCUCUCAUGCAUCAUUCAAACUUUAUGGUUAUAUUUAUCUUUUGAUUAAUUGUAUUGCAUGCACUUUUGUCAAAGCCCAAUUUGAACUCAAAUUCUAUAGAAAUAUUAGUUUGUGAAAAGUUCGAAAACCAGGAAGAGAUGAUGAAUUUGCAGAAGUCAAAAGAAAAGGAUAAAUCUUCCAAACUCUAGAAGAUGGAUUGUGUGUAAAGCAAAGAGAAAAAUGUGUUGUACAAGUAAAGUCCAGAAGAUGGGGAAUUUUCCUACUCAACCUCCUCCCGAACUCUAUAAAUACUCCCCUAAUCUUCCUCAUAUUCAUCUCUCAAAAGUCUCUCUUCAUCUCUUUCAUAACAUUCAAAUUAGUCUCUUUCUAUUGUUUCUCAUAAAAUCAAGGUUUGUACUCACUCUUAUCUAUCUAUCUAUCUAUCUAUAUGUAUAUGUUAGUGGCCUUCCAUGUACACAUCUGAGAACUAUGGAUGAAUGAUAUGACCUGAAUUUCAAGAUGAAGGUUGAGCUUGUUUUUUCCACAUUAGCCCACUUUGUCUACUCUACCCCAUUACUCCACCUGAUUUUCAUUAUCUCUCUACAUGAUCUUAAUCGUAGUCUUAACCUUUUGAUCUGUGUUUUGCAGGCAGUCGUUCAUUUGCUUUCUUUCAAAUAUACAGACAUAAUCCAUGGCGUUGAACUUAGCACCAAAGUUUGCACAAAAGAUCUUCGAAGGAGAAGGUGGAACAUAUUACCGUUGGUCAAGUGCUGAAUAUGAAUUGCUCAAGGAAGCAAAGGUUGGUGGUGGAAGGCUUGUUCUGCAGCCUCGUGGCUUCGCUCUCCCUCACUAUGCUGACUCCAACAAAAUUGGUUAUGUUCUUCAAGGUCUGUAAAUCCCCGAGCUUUUUAUGUCUUAUUCUUGAUUAGAACUCUUUUUCUAUUUCUUUUUCUUUUUCUUUAGAGAAUUGUUAAUCAUUCCUCCCUAAAAUCUCUUCACCUCAAUUUUCUUUUCUUUCUCAAAAACUAGAACAAAAAGAGUGCACACAGCCAUGGUAGUCGGCUGUGACUGGUGUGAGAGGGAGAGGGGGUCGCCAUGACAUGCAAGAAUGAAAAAGAGAAGAAAGGAACAAGACUAGAAUUGAAGAAAGAAAAGGGAUAAGAGAGAGAUGAAAGAAGUUGAGGGCUAGGGUUAUAUUUGGGAAAAGGAAAAAGAAAUUGAAAAGAGAGAGAGAGAGAGAGAGAGAAAGUGGGCCCUUCAAUACUUCUCUUUUUUUUUAUGUUUCUUUCAAAAUGAUUCUCUGACAUUACCCACUGUGCCAUCAAACCCUAUCCCAGUGGCUCAUUUAUGAAAAUAUAUUUUGUCCACAUCCAGGCAGCUGUGGAGUAGUUGGAAUCGUAUCACCCAAAGCAUCCCAAGAGGUGGUGUUGAGGCUCAAGAAAGGAGAUAUAAUACCAGUGCCCUCUGGAGCAGUUUCAUGGUGGUACAAUGAUGGAGACUCAGAACUAAUUAUCGUAUUCCUUGGUGAAACUUCCAAGGCUUAUGUUCCCGGAGAAUUCACAUACUUCCUACUAACCGGAACUCAAGGAAUCCUUGGAGGUUUUUCCACUGAAUUUAACUCCAGAGCCUAUGAUAUCAACAACGAAGAAGCCAAAAAGCUUGCAAGAAGCCAAUCUGGCGUCUUGAUAAUUAAGCUACCAGAGGGCCACAAAAUGCCCCACCCCUGCAAGAACAGUACUGAUAAAUUGGUGUUUAAUAUUGAUGCUGCAUUACCUGAUAUCCAUGUCCAAAAUGCUGGAUUGCUUACUGCAUUGACAGCAAAGAAGUUUCCCUUCCUUGGAGAAGUUGGGCUCAGCGCCACCCUUGUGAAGCUGGAUGCCAAUGCCAUGUCCUCACCGAUGUACGCUGCUGAUUCGUCGGUUCAAGUAAUUUAUGUUGCAAAAGGGAGUGGAAGGAUUCAAGUUGUUGGUAUCAAUGGUGAACGUGCCUUGGACACGAAAGUGAAGGCUGGUCACUUGCUUGUUGUGCCAAGGUUCUUUGUGGCUUCUGCCAUUGCAGAUGGUGAAGGACUGGAGUACUUCUCAUUGAUAACAGCUACAGAGUAGGCAUCAAUCUAAUAAAUUGUUUUCUCUUUAAUCAUCAUCGAUUGUAGGGUUAAUUACUAACUAUUUGUUAUUUGUCUUUUGUUUGUUUACAGACCUGUAUUUGGUGAAUUUACUGGGAAAACAUCAGUAUGGGGAGCAUUAUCUCCACAUGUUUUACAGGCCUCUCUCAAUGUGGCUCCAGAGUUUGAGCAGCUUUUCAGGGCAAAGAUCAAAAAGAGCACCAUUCUUGUUCCUCCACAGAACUAGAUUGAUUAAGAACCAAGGGCCCUUAUGAUGUAUUAUCAUUUGUUUUCAGGAGUUACAGGGCUGUUACAAUACAAUAAUUGUACUCCUAAGUGUGUCUUUUAUAUGUACAUCUGUGAGAUGGAAAAUGUUGUACAACUAUUAAUUAUAUGGCAAUAAGUUGUUCCUUUGUGUGAUCAGAAAAUCUAUUGCUGCAUUGAUUUUUAAAAAUUUCAAGAAAUAGCCUAUUAGAAGCCUUAAAUUAGGUUGUGAACCUUAUUGUACUCAUUGCGAGUGCGUAUUUGUCUAUGAGAGUGAUGGGUUCAUUCCCAUCAUUUACCUAAUUGACCAAUGAAUGUGGACAAUGCUAUCAUCUCUUUGCUUCAAUCAAACUCCGUAUGUAAACUACACGAUUCAAAUCAUCAUCAAUAAAUCUCCUAAAAAUGAAAGAGAGAUUUAAAUGUGCCUACUCUUUAUGGUCUUAUGCCAAUCAAAACCUACACAAUCAUUCAUGUUCUUGACACAAUAUCUCAUGUUUCUUAAUGAAUAUUUUAACUUCAUACAAAUUAUAUUUGUAUCCUCUAUUUUUGUUCAAAGAAUCUUUCAAGAUUUCUCUUAAAAACUUGAGAGGUGGGGAACUAAGGCUAAAAGGAUGACUAUAUUCAUGUGUAUGCUCUCAAUUCAAUAAAGUAAUUUAUUUAUUUUCAAACUUUGGAAGAUAAAUUUGGAGAGCUACAUCAUAUUGUAGACCACUAAUUUUUUCCCACAAAUACGGCAUGAGCUCAUUUUUAUGUCUUUAGGCCAUGUUUGAUUGACUAUAUAACAUGUAAUAGAAUAAGAGAAGAGAUAUUAUAUCUUAUCCCAUAUUUGGAUGGCGAUAAGAUAUGAUAAAUUAUCUCAUCACUUAUGCUAUCUUAUAUUCAACCAAACAUCGGAUAGAAUAAGUGAUGGAAUAUAUUAUCUACCUUUUUUCUUUAUCCCUUCUGUAUGAGAUAUAUUAAUUUCAUACUAAGAUAUGAAAUAUGUAUAUCUCAUAUAUCUUAAAUUUAUUUUUAAAAAUAAUUUUUUAUUUUUUUAUAUACUCAUUUUGCAAAAUAACUUUUUAUUAUAAAUUAAAUUCAUGAUUAAAAAAAAUAAAAAAUAUUAAUAUAUAUUAUAUAAUUUAUUUUUAUAUAUUGAAUAACAUAAUAUUAAAAAUUUUAAUUUAUAAAAUUUAAAUAAUUUAAUCAUAAAUAUUGUCAAAUAUUAGAGAAAUUUCAUUUUUUAAAAUAAAAAUUUUUAUUACAUGAUAUAAUUUUUAUUUUAAAUAUUAAAAAUAAUACAUAUUGGUGACUUUUUUAGUGAUAACAGAUGAAGAAUGAGUAGAAUUGUCAGGGAAUAGGUAGCAUAAAAAGAGGUAUGAGAUGACAAAGCGAUGGAGUGGUCAAAUGAUUGGUGAAAUAAAAACACCACUUCAUCAAAGAUGAUAUGCCGAGUUAUAUACAUUCUGCCAGAAUUGUAAUCUAAGCACAACUAACCUUUGUGAAUUGUGCUAGAGCCAAGAAAGAUGCAGUAGACUGAUUGACGUAGGAGUUUAAUUGUGUUUAUUAUAUGGGCGAAUAUAGGAUAUCAUCUUUCUUGGCUAUGUUCCCGGAGAAUUCACAUACUUCCUAUUAACCGGAACUCAAGGAAUCCUGGGAGGUUUUUCCACCGAAUUUAACUCUAGAGCCUAUAAUAUCAACAACGAAGAAGCCAAAAAGCUUGCAAAAAGCCAAUCUGGCGUCUUGAUAAUUAAGCUACCAGAGGGCCACAAAAUGCCCCACCCCUGCAAGAACAGUACUGAUAAAUUGGUGUACAAUAUUGAUGCUGCAUUACCUGAUAUUCAUGUCCAAAAUGCUGGAUUGCUUACUGCCUUGACAGCAAAGAAGUUUCCCUUCCUUGGAGAAGUUGGGCUCAGUGCCACCCUUGUGAAGCUGGAUGCCAAUGCCAUGUCCUCACCAAUAUACGCCGCUGAUUCAUCGGUUCAAGUAAUUUAUGUUGCAAAAGGGAGUGGAAGGAUUCAAGUUG